rnacentral:lncRNA from 1 species
GCCAGACCCUGAUUUUGGAAAGUUUAGAGUCUGCUCUGAGUCACUAGUGUGCUGCCCACGGAACAAAAGGUGAGACCACGUCUGGGUGGUUUCUAAAAACCCCUCGCUUUCGCUUUUUCACUGCAAGUGAAGCUGCAGACUCUUUCUUUUUCUCGUUUGUUUCCUUCUGAAUGUGUCUUUCUUUCUCUUUCUUUCAGCCUCGCACAAAGACAAAAACACACAGCCUGCACGCAACUUCUUGUCUUAACUUGUGAUCUCUGGCAUCUAUCUCACCGUGUACAGAUUAAAUCCAGGCUUAGAGUGUCUCCUCUUAUCAAUUGCUUCAGACUGAAGAUGAUUUCCGUCCCUUUUUUUUUUGGGUACUUUCCAGGACACUUUCUCCUGUUUGGCAAUCAUUUGUCUUGUUUACAGAGCUGCUAAAACCUGGCGACACCACAGGCCGUGACUCACGCUGUGAACCCGGGCGGUCGCUGGUUCAGGGUUCAGUUUACAAACAAUGUUGCACAAUGUGUCCUCUCUGGUCAUGGAUGCACUUUCGAUCUAAUCUGCUUGUUGAAAUCGGACUCUGUUAAGUUCACUUUUUCAGUUACUCUUUUUCUGAAUCUGAUGAAGUCGUUUCCUGAAAUGAUCACAUGAUAAAAGUUAUGAUCUGAGACAUUUGAAUAUCAGAGAUCCAAUAUUUAAUAUCGGAGCAAAUGUUUUAAAGUGAACAGAGGUUACCGUAGGACACUUUGGUCUUGACUUUACGAUCACGUCAUGACUUUGGCUGUAGGUUACACUUGAUUGCCUCUGCAUAACCUAGUUUAUAGUCUCGUAAAGUUUAAGGCAUAUUAACUGAGCAGGGGUGUGUCCAAAAUGGUGGCAAGGGGUGGCACUGCCCCUGUUUGACCGGCCACCCCAGAUGUAACCCUAUAUUUCUGAGCUAUAAUUAACUUUUUGCCGUUUUAGAGGUAGAAUUUGUGUUGAAAUCAACAUUUUAGAUGUGUGAACUCGACCUGAGUGUUGCCACAAGUUGCCUGAUUCGAUUCAUAACUUUUGGAGCUAGCCUCAAGUGGACAUUUAAAGAACAGCAGUUUGAAGCGCUUCCACAUCAGCUCAAAAUUAGUUGCUUAUUUUUACUUUAUGAUCACAUUAUGACUAUGGCUGUAUUCACUUUUAACCGAGCAGGGGUGUGUCCAGAAUGGUGGCAAGGGGUGGCACUGCCCCCGCUUGACUGGCCACCCCAGAUGCAACAUCAUAUUUCUGAGCUAUAAUUAACUUUUUGCCCUUUUAGAGGUAGGGUAUUUGUUGAAAUGAACAUUUUGGAUGUGUGGACUCGGCCUGGGUGACGCCACAAGUUGCCUGAUUUGAUUCAUAGCUAUACUGAAGUGGACACUCAAGGAACUGCAGUUUUAAGCGCUUCCACAUCCGCUCAAAAUCAGUUGCUUCUUGGUUUAAUUAAGCCUUGGUUUCUCACUGGCACUCGUGUUGACAGGCUGGCAGUCGUUUUCUUUGUAUUCAAAUGUCGCACUUUGUUUCCUCGAAUUGUGAUCUUUGACGAAAGUCUUCUUUACAGGUCCGUAGGGAUUUGAGUUUAGAGGAUUCAUGUGUUGACACCCUGUUUUGUUUCUUUUUAAAGUCAAAAAUCAAACGCAGGAAUUCGACAGCUGUAUGAUUCAUCUAUGAUGUGUGUGUUUGCACACAAACCCCGGCCACCCUCGUCAUUGUCAGCACCUCUGCUUGGCCACCCCGGUCGUAAAAGUCUGGACGAGAAUUAACACUUUGUACCAAGAGAUCUUCUUCCAAGAAUGGAGAGAAAAAGAGGAGAAAAAGAGGUCAGCGAGGAUGACGAACAGAUUGAAAAUUUGAUCCAGUUGUUGUUAUGCAAGUGUCAUUUCUUUUUUUUCUUUUCUGUGAACACAUGAAGUGCUCACUAUCAGCCUCGUGCUGCUUCUGUGCGGCGCAGCACAGGAACUUAUGUCACUUCCCUUCUUAUCUUCUUGAUGUGGAAAGAGGAAGCCCCCUUACUUUCCCCAGACCUACUUAUGUGAGCACCACUGAAUGUGUUAUAAAUACUUCAGAGCUGAAAAUCACCUGAAAUUCUCCUUUGAAACCACUUAUAAGUUUAAAAUUAACUUGAUUUCCUGACUCAUAACUGUCAGAUUUAACGCAGAUGUGUCAGGCCGUGUUUGGUGACGCGCUGCGGUGUCGUAGCACCUGUGUGCAGACCUAUCUGACAGGAUGUGGAUGGGGGUUGUUCUGUGUGUCUUCUUUUUUUUUUUGCAGGCUUUGCACACCCACCCCGGCUUUUCUCUGCCUCACACUGUACCAGUACUGCAGACUGUAUGGAACAUGCAGAGGAGGCGGCGGGCGCUCCACUCUUUGAAGCCUCUGUGUACAUAUGGAGGCAUGAAGCGUCUCACCGCUCAGCCGUUUAACCCAUUCAUGCCCACACAAGAAUAAGUUAGUUGCAUGAAAGAGCAAGAACAACAACAACAACAUCCUCCUCCAUUUGGAAAAUCCCCCCCUCGCUGAGGCCUUUCAUUUACUUAAAAGCACUUUUAUAUGCUUCAUUACCAUUUCCAUGAUGUUCAUGGAUCACCAUUCAGGCCGAAGAUCCUGUUAUUUAGGUCAGGGGGUUUGUUGUUCUGCAGCACGUCAUGGUGGUAGAAGCCCCUCUGUUUCCUUAGAUAUAUGGACUUUAAAUCAAUGAGUCAAGCCGCGAAAAACACACGAGUACAAAGAAGACCAAACGAUGAAUUCCUACAUACUAAAAAAGCAGGACUUGGAAAUCUACGUCUUCAGAGAGUCAUUAUAGAUUCUUGUUAGUUUAGUUUUUCCUGGUUUUGUAAUGUAGUUAUAUUUCCUGUGUAUUUUUCCUGGUGUUUCUGUUUUCUAUUGUUCCUGUUUCCCUUUGUUAAUUAUUCAUAUGUUCCUGUUGUUCUUUUCAUUUAGUUUUCAGUGUUUCCUGUUGUAUUUUGUAGGAGUCAAUCCCCAUUUGUAAAGUCUCGUUUUACUUCCUUAGUUUUCUCUCCUUUGUUGAGUACUCAGGAGUCUCACCUGUUGCUUGGUUCCCUGUCUUCUCCUGCUUCUUUGUUGGUCCAUUGUCCACACAUUGUCCUUGCCUGUCAGUUAGCUCUGCUACAUAGACAGAUGGGUUGUUAAAAUGAUAAUUCAAGUUCUUAUUUAACAUCAGGCAAGCCCUUUUCAUUAUGCUCUAUGUCAAACUGUCAGUACGGACAUUAGGGUUCAUUUGAGGCAAUUUGGACAACAUUCACAUCUAAAAUUAGGGACUUUUAUUGUGAAAGGAUUGUCAGAAACGCUCAGGUAAAUCAUCGAUAUAUACUUUUUUUUUGUUACCCUCAUGCUAACGUGCUGGUUUUGGUAUGUGGUGUGAUAGAUAAACAUGGAAAAGGCAGACUGUUGUCUUUAAUGAGUCAUGUUACAUGUGGAGUACCCCAAGGUAGCUGUUUAGGCCCACAACUGUUUUCUGUUUUUUAUUUAUUACGUAAGUUGGGUAACACUCAAUGCCUAACACUCAAUGCUAUAACGCAUUAUAAAUAUAUGUAUAAUGCAUUAUAAUCACGUUAUAGCACUGUAUAACUAAAGUUACAAACACUCAUAAAUGAUCAUAAUGCUUUAUAGCAAUAAUCGUAACAUAUUAUGAAGCAUUUUAUCAUGACUUACAAGGUCAGGUAUUAUAAUGUGUUAUAACAGUUAACAGCUCACUGACAAUGCCCACAUAGAUAAUGCAUUAUACAUAUAUUUAUGAUUUGUUAUAAUUUGCUUAUAAACUUGUAUAACUAUAGUUAUAAACACUCAUAAAUGAUCAUAAUGCUUUGUAAAUCAUGAUAAAAUGCUUUAAUAUGUGUUAUGAAUAUUGCUAUAAAGCAUUUUGGUCAUUUAUGAGUUCUUAUAACUAUAGUUAUUCUGUGCUAUAAUGUGAUUAUAACACAUUAUACAUAUAUUUAUAAUGUGUUAUAGCGAUAGGCGUAAAAUAAAGUGCUACUGUAAGUUUUAACGAUCUCCAGUGUGUCUUAGAAAAGGCCCACAUUACUGUAUCUAAUGUUUUUGUUUGCUCGGUGGGAUCUUUACAUUACCGUAGCAGGAUGAAGCUGCUAUAAGUAGAAAUUAGUGCGCUGCAGUCAGGCAUGAUAGAAGCUAAAUUUUGUUAUUUCUACAGCCCCACUGACUCCACUCCAAACCUUCAUUCAGCAUCGGUCACUUGGCCCCUGGUAAAGCGCGGAGGUCCAGGCUAAGUGGGUUUAAAUAGCAGCGUAUUACUUCCUCUGGGAAGCUGUUAAUGACAUCCACUGUCCACAAAAACAACCGCUGGAUAUCAACACAAGCAUCUUUGGGUCACUUGACCUCAGUUUUGUGCUGGAAAGUAUUUGAAAAAUUAGAGAAAGUGAACAUGCCCCUUGUCCAAUCAUAAGUCAUCAAAAUGUAACAGAGGAGGAUUUGUUCUGCUUUGGUGACUUGUAUUUAUUUCAGUCCGGGUUUGCAGGAAUGUACAGUCACAGUCAGCCGUGGUAGAGGGGAGUGGAGGGGGAUUGAGUAACACGCUCUGAAAAAGUUUGGGUCUAACUUAAAUGCAAAUGCUAUGAAAAUAAUGUACCCAAAUUAUAGCAACAUGCCCAGAUAAUUUCCUGCAGCGGUGCUUAAACUUUGCUAUUUCUGCUUGGCCUUGUUUAUUUUUGGGGGGAAGGGGCCGGGAGGACGGGGACUGUGGACACAUAAUCCUCCCAGAAAAGUGAUUUAUUUAUGAAUUCCAGUGCAGAAACUCCCCUCCUGAGAGCCGGCCUGCCUGCCAGAAGUCAUUGGCUGAUGUUUACAGGACUGGGUUGGCUAAUUCCCAUGGUGCAGUGUGCCUGCAGUGCUAUCUUAUUUAUACAAGGCCUGAUAUGGGAGAACAGAGGGGUUUAUUUUGGGAUAUUCCCCAUAGAUGGAUCCAAUUUCUCCAACUGGAGCGAUUUCCUCCAUACGUGCUGCGCUUCAGGUCCUAGCGGCGGUGAACACAGCUCGCCACUCGCUGGAGUUUAAAAGGGCUGAAUUGGCUCAGGGAGAAAACUAUGUCACAACAUCUCGAGGUUAGACUCGUGACAGUACGCUGAGCUCAGGGACUACACAGGAAGUCGGAUAUUAGUCUCAUCAGAAGUCCAUUGUUUCCCUUGUCAAAACAAAUUUCAAGAGACAAAACCCUCACUUACAGUUCAUUUAUCACCACAUUAAAAAAGAUCGAGUCUCAUUUUUUAUCUGCUGGAACGAAUAUUUUUUAUAUUAUAGGAUCAUGUUGUAAAAUCUGAAUGCACUCAGUGACAUUACCGGGGGAAUCGAAACCAAUUCUUUGUUAGUCAGACUUUUAUCACCACGUUACAGCUGUUGUCCCUGAAGUCUGGCCCACAUGAAGAGGAUUUUCACAGAUGUUGAAAAUGUGUGAGAUCCCACACAUGACGGCGCAUAAUAAUAGAUUUAACACGUUUGAUUUUACCAUGUGAAGAGAAACAAAUUCACAAACAAAGCUCAGAUCUAACAGACUUUACAACAACAAUCAGUGUUGUGCAAUUCAAGCUGAAGAUGAAUCGACUUGUUAACAUUUGUGGCUCAUUUUAAGUUUUGAGCUUAACUAAUCGUCCAAAAUGGGGCUUAAUGCACCUAAAGUGUUAUUCAGUGGAGCCUCCUGUGUUUCAGUUCUUAGACCUGAAUUUCUCUUUCGAUUGACUCAAUCUUGGAAAGCAAGUUUGAAAGCCAAGAAAUUUUGGUUUAAAAAAAAAAAAGAGUUUGCAUCAUUGAGAACUUAAAAACAAAUUUACGGGCGAAGAUUUAAUUUGUUGGCAGGAUAUUUGGCUAAAGGUUACGGCUUUAACAUCCAAACACACUGGGAAAAUCUGCUCUGUAAAAUACGAUGUGGUUCAUAUGGUUUUUACAGAAAUGCUGACCCAACAAACACAAAAAGUGAGUUAUUCCCUAUUUUCAAAAAGCUACACCUCUCUAAAGUUUUAGUCUGUGGGAAUCUGUCCUGAUUUAUCCACUAAACUGCUUCAGAUGUCUCGAAAGGUUGGCUUCAUUAGCACCGCUAACCGAGCACAAGUUGGUAGAAGUGCCAGGUUUUGUAAAUCUGACCUCGGAGUGGAGAGAAUGAGAGGAACCGAGGCAAUCUGAUGCCGGCUUUUAUAGCUAGUGUGAAGUACCAGGUCUAGGUGCUUGAAUAAAUUUGCAUGGAAGGUCUGUCAUAGUUGAUCCUCCAUUUCUGACUAUACGCUCCAUCUUUGUUGUUCUCAUCAUGGCCAAAUUCCUUGUGCUUCCUUCUCAGUUUAGUUUGUUUCCCCUUUGACUUCUGUUCCCCAAGAUAAUCCUCAGAGUACGAGCUCCGGUUUCCUCACAGCCCUGAUCAGACCUGCUCUUUUUGUACUGUCAUGAUAAAACUUUAAUUAAAGGGAUAUUCUGGCGUAAAAUGAAUUUAGGGUCAAACACACUGUAACACCGAGGUAGAUACCUCCUCAAGUGAUGAAUGUUGCCGACCACUUGCUUCUCUAGUUAUACCAACUUUAGUAAUGACAGCACAAUAGCAAUACACAGCAGUCUGAGGAGCCAUUUCUUAGCAAAGAGACUAAACACAACUCACCUACUCUCUUCCAGCAGCCGCUUGUUUGUGGCACGACCUUGCCAGUCCAUGACGGACUACAGCGGGGUGACGCAGCUCAAGGAAAAACAAGGAAGAUGAAUGUUGCCGAACGCUUGCAACUUUAGUAACGACUGCACGAUAGCAAUACACAAUAGCAUAAAUGUUCUUCCUUGAGCUGUGUCGCUGCUGGAAGAGAGUAGGUGAGUUGUGUUUAGUCUUUUUGCUAAAGAAAUCAGGCAAAGUUGAAAAAGAUGUUUGGUGGCUAGUGCUGUGGCUAGGACCCUGUAUGUACUGUUGAUGAAGUUAGGUGCUGUUCUGAGUAUUAUUUGUGACUAUAGAGUGGCGUUUUGGUUGAGGUUUGUUAAUGGCUCCUCAUACCGCUGUGUAUUGCUAUCCUGCGGUCGUUACUAAAGUUGGUAUAACUAGAGAAGGAAGCAGUCGGCAACAUUCAUCUCUCGAGAGGGUGUCUAACUCGGUGUCACGGUGUGUUUGACCCUAAAUUAAUUUUCUGCCACAAUAUCCUUUUAAGUUUUAGUUCUUAAAAGAUAAGAGUCGACUAAAUUAUAGUGUUGCUCUAAAUUUAUCUCAGCCUGAAUCAUGUAAAGUCAUCCAAACUCUCAGAUAUGCAAACCUUUGCCUGCUUGAAUAUUUUGCCGGUGAGUAAUUUUUGAAGGCAUGACGCUGAAUUAGGAACACAACUCUUCCAGUCUGUAAAUGUUUAAUUAUGAAGCACAAACACAUGCAGACAAGUGUUCAUAACACACCAUAUUAGUGAUGUUAAAGCAACAUCUGCCUUUUAUAAGCGCUCACGUCAUUAUCGGCCGGUCACACUUGUUCUGUUUGCUGACGUACUGCGUCUGCCAUGCCAGAAAAACACCUUGCACCUUCCUGUUUAUUUCUUUUACCGUCUCAGCUCUCUCUCUCUUCUCGUUCCCAGCCCCCUGCUGCUCUCCCUUCACAUCCGCCGGUGAUUUCAUGAUUACAUAAAGGGAUGAGGGCAUGAUGGGAAGGAGUUCAGAGCCCCGACACCCUGGCCCAGAUGUUUCCCUCGCUGCUUAGGUGUGUCAGUCGUCUUUAUCCGCCUGAAAGCUCAAAGCUGCUGAUGGGGCAGGCCUCUAUUACCAAGUUAGGCCAGAAGGAAAACUGUGCAAUCAUCUUCUCCUGCAUGGGGGGGCUCUUAUAACAGCUCUGAUCCUCAGGAUUUGGGGUUCACUGUAACAGAGUGGGCAUCUUAUAUAAUGGACUUUCAAAGUAUUUCAAAGUAAGAGCUCAGGCUUCAGAUUCCCCUGACUGCUCAUCUCUAAAAUUAAUUCGGCUACUUUUACUGGAUUCAUUAAUGGCGUUAUCCUCAUCUGGUUGAGGUAGCAUCAGGAGCCAUGAACUGAGACAGAACAAGAGAGAUCCAGGGUGAAGCCAAAACCUUUAGAGCUCCACUGAGGCUCCACUAGCUAAACAGCCUCACCAGUCCAAGAUGUCAGCACUUGUUAACAGUGGAGGUACGCUAUCUAGAGAUUUACAGUCAGUGGUCAUGGAUGGGUCAUAAAUCAUAAACAAUCAUAAAUUUAAUCCCAGAGAUGAGAGUUUAAACUUAGUUAGACUUUAGCGCUACAUGCUACACUGGUGUCCUCUAACAAAUAUCUCAUUAUUCUGACUUUUAAAUGUAAGAUUGAUCACUUUUUUUAAAUAUUUUCUGCAGAAAACAUAAAAAUCCCAUGACAUCAAAAUUACAACAUAAAAACGGUCAAUUUCAGUCUAUUUUCAGUUCAGUUCAGAGAACUUUAUUUAGCCUAAAGGGGGCGAUUAAUUUAUGGCUUUCCAGUGCAUAUUCAUUCAUUUAUACAGUCAGUCAAAAACAUAUAUAAAUAAUCAAUCAGUCAAGUGAACAUGUUUAAGCCUGAUGUCAGAUCCCAGAUGUCAGGACUUUAUAAGUAGCCUACAUCUUAAAUGUGUUUUAAAUGUUUUAUGCUGUUUUUAAUAUGAUUUGUAUGGUGACCUUGAGUGUCAAAAAGGCGCCUUCAAAUAAAAUGUAUUAUUAUUAUUAUUAUUAUUAUUAUUAUUACUUAUAUGAAUUGUAGGGCAAGAUAAAACAAGAUAGGAUAAAAAAAAACAAAAAACAAAAAAACAAGUGAGGUAAAAACAAGGCAAUGCAAAAACUUCAGAAAAAAAGUUUAAAAAUAGGAAUACAUGAUCAAUAAAUAAGAGUAAUGGGUGUGGUCUGUGUUUAGGAGGGAAUGAAAGACUUUGAGUACCGAUUAGUUUUCUUUUGGGGCGCAUUAUAACGUCUCCCUGAAGGCAUAAAAACAUAAACAUACAAAAACUUCUCACUGGAGUUUGUCGGGCAGCUGACGCUGGGGGGAAGUUACUGGAUAUUCUGAAUUAUGUCGUAUAAGGUUCCCUCAUUGUACAGUUUAACUUUAAGACUUGAAUUACUAGGAACCAGCUAAUCUGGCCAAAUUUCAAUCUACAAAUUUUAUAUAAAUUAAGAAACAUGAUGUUAAGAUACUGUCUGUUUUUUUCCUGGAGGUAAAUUAAGCUGUUAUUCAAUUUUCUUCUCCUAAAACCGAGAAACCCCAAACUCAAAACCUACGUCAUAUUUUCUUUGGUGAAACUGAAACUGGAUUUGUUACUUAAGUCAACAUUACAGUAAAGUCCAUGUUGUUUCGAUCCAUCUUUGUUGUUUUUUUCAGGAAGAUUUUCAGUUCCUGAGUUCUCAAGACACGCUAAUCCCACAGCACAGCAAACACAGCGAACAAAUGAUUACAAGAAUAUGAUCACAGUGUUUGGGUUUCUUACAGCCAUGCCCCUGGGACAGUGGUCACAGCUUGGUGGGAGUCUAGUCAUGUUUUAAUUCCAACUGGCUUCCUCUCUGGGAGCUGAUUAGAAAGUCUGUUGUUCAUUACAUGUUCAUGUUUUUUUUUAAAGGGGAAAAUAGAGCGAACCACCAAACGACUACUUCGCAGAGAAACACAAAGAUGCGGCUCAUCUCUGCGUUCUCCCCUGUAGGUGCACACGUGUGGUUUGCACCUGAAACUAGAUCUGCUGUUUACUUUCAGUGGAAAAAUACCCGACAGCCAUGGCAUCAGGAGGAAGUGCACAAGGAAGGCUGUCAGGUUUUUACAGGGUUAACUCGGCAGAAUUUUAAACUGCUGAAUCACUACGGUCUAUUUUUAAAACUGUGCAGUCAUUUGGUGACAGUCGACGCAUACGAAACUGACCUUCAUGAAAUCAGAAGCCACGGUGAUGAGUGACCUCCUGUGACUUUUUCCUGAAUAUAACUCUAUCUAUCGAUGAGUUUAAACCACAAAUAGGAUCCCCCAAAACCAUCUUAUUUGUAUUCUUAAGCGAGUCUACAUACAUCUACCAGGAAUAACAGAGCAUGACAAGUUUUUGGCUGAGAAUAAACUCUUAUGUGACGGGCUGAUGUAACUUGUUUGACACUCGGCCUGAUCCAAGUUUCCCUAUUGGCUAUACCACUUUUUCCUUAAGCGCUGCUGCACUGGGUUGGUGUCGUGAUUCCUUUGUGGAUUGAGGGGAAGUGGGAUUCAAGUUUUCAAACAGCCUGUUAAAAGUUGUUAUUUUUUAGAGGACUACUGCAAAUGGAUUGGCAGAAAGUUCCCAAAAUGUCAUAGGACUAUAAAAAAAAGCUUAUAUCCUCUAACAGGUAAGGAGUAGAGUCAGGAUUCAGGAUAGAGUUAGGAUAGUAAAUAGUGCAAAGGGAACAUAUAAAACACUGCAACUACAAAUUAUAAUCUCUUGAUAUUUUUGGUUAAUUUGCAACAGGUUAAUAAAAAGUCUGGAUUUAAGACAGGGAUUGACACUAACUUUUUACACAAGGGGCACACACAAAGAACUUUAGGGGCACAAUGAAAAUUGAUCAAAUAAUGUGUGUCUUAUUGGUCGACCUUAGAACUAUAAUUUGAAAUCAACUUUAGCUCAAUUGGUCACAUGACAUGGAAGCUAUUGAAGGAAAACAGCCUUUGUUUGAGAACAUCAAUCGGUAAUUUAUUGACGGUCCCUUGUUCAACACCCGAUGUUGACAGCGAGGGUGCCGAAUAGAUUUAACUGCGCUGCUGUUGCUAUUCCCGGUUAUGGAGAUUGAGAAGACAACGGUAGAUCCGUGAUGAAUGUCCGUCGAAUAUCCAACCUAAAUCUAACUUCACUUCUUUUUUUAGUCGCAAAUGCAAGUGAAACGGUCCCACUGUCGAGCCCUGCUUUCUCCUUUGUUUUUGACUUCAGACUCUUAAAAUUUUCCAGUUUAAAGUGAGACAUUUACACCUCUGCUAUAUUUUGUCUGAACUGUGUCAUAAAUGUUGGCGCACAGUUAUUCUACCUCUGAUCAGAGUAGCAACUGAGACCCGAUGGAGGAAGGUUGUGUUGGAGUAAGAGAGGCAGAACACCACAGUGUGUGUGUGUGUGUGUGUGUGUGUGUGUGUGUGUGUGUGUGUGUGUGUGUGUGUGUGUGUGUGUGUGUCUAUUUAAACUGCUUUGUCCAUUUUCUGCUGAGUCUAAUUUCGUAUUUUCACGAACGCUCUGUGCCCCAGGGGUCUUUGCUGCUGCUCUGCCUGCCUUGGCUCCUCAUGUGUGUCUGAAAACAGGCGCCUCAUGCCAAAUACAACUCCUUCGAUGCAAACAUGGCCCUGACUGGACUUCUUUUGCAGUGUGAUGUAAAGUAAUGUUUGAUUUAAACAGUAUUCAUGUUGAGUUAAGAUAGACGCUCUGUUCAAGCGGAUGAUGUAUUCUGAAUGUCUCGUAUCUUCAGGGGUUUACGAGCUACAUGAACCAGAUUGAUCUCAAAUCCCUCAUUUCACCCGGAGUCGCUCAUGAUUUGGAAAAACAGGUCAAAGUGAAGUUUCAGAUUUUCAACAAGCACUUUAAAGAGAAAAAUAUGAUUUCUCGGGGUCUGCUGGGUACUGUAAGGAACUUUUAUCUUUGAGGAGGGGAGCCAUGUUUUUCUUCUCCUUUAGACCAAUGGAAAUAAAAUCCAGCUGUGCACAUGGGAGAGGGGCAGGUAUUCAAGUAAAAAUAGAAAGUCCAUAUGUGCAGACGGAGUCCAGGGAACGAGGAGAUCACGCAGAAAAUGAAAAACUUCAUGCUUGAUUUAAGGAUAUAGUAUAUCAAGACUUUCAUCAAGGUCGACUUAUUUAUGUCUGAACUUUAACACCCAACGUCUUCCUGGAGGUGUUUUUGUCCUCUUACAUGAAAUCCACUUCCCUUUAAGCAUAUAUUCUCGUCACACUGGUGCUGACAUCUUCAGUGACUCACUCAUUUUGUUUGCAAGUUAAAGUGUUGAGCGUUGUUGGAGCGUGCCGCGGAGCUAACGCCUGAUGUCAUUGUGAAGUCGUCUGCUGUUUAUCUGGUAAUCGCAGCGCUGACUGGGUAAAACUGCGUGCCGCUCAGGCUCUGGUGUCUCGUUGUGGGGGUUAGUUGCGUGCUGCGCGUCUUCAUUACGAGUGUGAAUUGCGUGUAAAUGACUCAAACCGGAUUCUUUUGUCGUUUUUGUUCUUUAUUCUUCCAAACUCCUCUUCAGAGUCUGAGACGAAACACGAGUUCAAGUGGCUGUUGAAUCAAACCUUAAAAAUGUCAAAGACAAACUCAAAACAGCAGGCUACACCCACGGACUUAUUGAAGCCAUCAAGAAAUGAGCAUUGAGAAAGUUUCUGAAACCACUUCCUCGCGUUUUUUUUCUUUUUUUCUCUCUGCAAAAAAUUACAAUAAUUCAGCACAGGCUCGGUUUGCACAAACAUUUCGCCAAGUGUCAAGUGCUGAAUGACUCAGAUGAGCGCAAUGUCUUCAUCCUACACGUCUGAGGAGGCUGUUUUAUAAACGCUUUAAACAUUCAUGCAGAUUUUAUUUCCUUGAACUGGUGUAAACUUUGUAUUUUCAUGAAUGACCAACACAUCCCCGCUUGGAGAGAAUCCAGAUUUCUGUCCCUUCGGUUUUCCCUCAGGCCUCUUUCGGGAAAUGAAGCUGAUGAUUCAUGAUGUUCAAACACCCCUCUCUCUCUCUUUCACUCACUCCCGGCAUGAAAAUAAAUGACACAGAUAUAUGACACAUACUUGUUCUUCUCCGCCUCGGUUUCUGGUCUUACUUCGGCGGUGGAAAGUAGAUUCAUCAAGACAGGCUUGCCCUCCUGAUCCUCUCCCUCAAGCCCCUCUACUCUCUCGCUCACUAACCCCAAACUCCUGUCAAUGGUUUCCAGCUGGCUGUGGCGUGGUGGUUCUCCUGGGAGAGGAGAAAGAAGAAGAGGAGGAGGAGGAGGAGGAAGGGGGCUAAACUGGCUGCGGGCCCUGCCUUGCACACCGUCCAAGAGCUUUGCUCAACCCCCCUUUGACCCAACCCCAGCCUCGCUUUUUAUUUGUUUAAUUUGUGGAAAAACCCAUAAACAUUUUGCGUAUGAUUUGUGGAAAGCGGCUAAGCGGGCAGGAGGGCCGCGUUUGCGUUCGUGUUUGCAGUCCAAACUUCACAUGCUGAUUGUGUCCAAUGCCUUUAAUGAUGAGGCGAGGUUAGGAGGUAAAAAGGCAACAACUAUGAGCUGUUAGCAUAUUCAGCACCGAGCAGUUUGACGCUGGAAACUUAGGAAUCUGCAGAGGGGCUCUUCAGUUUAAGUGGUCUCUUUUAAUGUCUUGUUAUCUUGAUGGGUGCAGCACUUUGCUCUGGUGGCUGAAGAGCGUCUAAAUUUAGCAAAGACCAGUUCAAUAGCAGGGCACUGCUUGCGUCACCUUGGGUAAAUAUUUCUCUUUUUGGCACUGGUUGUGUUCCUAAAACCUCGCUUUCCCCCCAAAAAAACAUUCAGCAGAAAAAUGAGAAAAGGCUGAGCUUUGGUGGGGGCUGCAGGUGGGCUGGAUUUGGGAGUGAGUUAUUUAAAGAGCAGAGCAGAUAAAACCAGAACACAUGCAGGUUUAAUAAAGAAGUUUAAAAGACGGCCUGGAUGUUUGAAGAGGACAGAGCACACACUCUCAGCUCCGGGACUCGGUCUGUGCCCGAGUUUUUUGUAGGACGUUGUGUUUACCUUGCAGGAGUGACGGUGAUGACAGUCUGUUGUCAUCGAGGUCAGAGGUCGAAUAAGGAGGGGGAGUGUGUGUGCAGGCUGCUGAUGGAAGUGUGUGCUGCUUUGUCACUCCUCCUGUCUGGUCAGAAGGCUGAGUGUGUUUGGCUUGGCUUAAGGAGUUUAUGUUUGUGUCUGUGUGUGUGUGUGCGUGUGUGUGUGUGUUCCUCUGAUUGUGCAUGCUCAUGUUUCUUUGCAGCAAGCCAACACACUGCUGGGAAAUGUGCCUGUGUCAGUAUGUAGGUUCUGACUGUAAAGUGUGACACUGUGCUCACUAAUAGAUCUGCACCAUCAGCAGUCAUGCCCAGACGUUUGUUUAGAGGCUCGCUUUUAUUUUCUCUGAAUUCAUCACUUGAGCGGCUGUGCAGGUUUCAGGACACAGAUCGCUCAGAUUAAACCUCAAAGACAAAUGAACAUGCUGUAUGUCAAUGAGAUAAACUUUUGACAGUUUUCAGCCUGAUUAUAUCUGGUCUGAAGGCUUUAAAUCGUGUCGGGCAAAAAAUGUAGGUCAAGCAUUGAACAAAGCAAAAAUGAAAUGUGAACCUGCGCUUUUAUCGGUCUUCAAAGUGAGUUUUUCUAAAUUAGAGGAAAAAAAGUCUGAGUUUGGUUCAUUAAAUGUCGUCUGAUGGGGCGCGCAUACCAAGCGUGAAUAAGUCAAGUCAAGUCAACUUUAUUUAUAGAGCACUUUAAAAAACAAAAAGUUUGAGCCAAAGUGCUUUAAGGCAGUAAAAUUUGGAACAGACUUUGAUAAAAAUCAGAAUAUUUAAAAACAUACUCGAUGAUGACGUAAAAAUAUACAUAUAUACUUUACAAAAAGGACAGGAAGGACAGGAUAGCAAAAUGGGUAAGAACUUAAUUCAGAUGAGAAAUCAGGUUAUGAGAAGGCAAGAGAGUAGAAGUGAGUCUUUAAGAAUAAAAUCAUCUACUCGCUUAAUUCGCGCGAAUCUAGAUGCGUGAAUGAAUUCCUCGCUUCAUUUGCGUGUCAACGGUAAUUUCAACCAUAAUCCCUGCCAAUUCAACCUGCAAGGUCAAGUGAUUGACAAAGGCUUUUUUUUUUACAAUGUACCAGAUAUUCCAACCUCCUCACUCACUUGCCUCCAGGCGAGCUCCUUUUUAUUCCGGUUUCGGUAAUUGAAAGAAAAGUUAUCAUAAAAUUUCGGGGCACCCACACUCCGACACGAUCAGUUUGUCCUCCAAAAUCCAUCCGUGACCUGGCAGCCUUUGUGCUGAUUAGUUAUCAUGACGUGAAUACCCGCUCAAGUUGAAACAUUUCCAGCUCCUGCCCAAUUCGCGUCAUUCGCGCUGCCAGAGAAGUAGGAGCGUCUACUUGUGUCUUUGCAUUGACUUAACAUGUAAUUCAUUCGCGCGAAUGAUUCUACUCGUGCUUAGUGUGUAGAGACAGUAACAGUUUAUCUUCUGACUGUGUGUCCAUGCUUUUGGUAAAAUUCAACUUCUAGUGAGAUUUUGAUGCCUGAUUUCACUCCCUGUAACAGCCCAGUGUUAGCCUUACACCAGACAGCAGAAGUGGUUCAUGUGGACAGUGUGGCCUUGGAUGAGGUCGAACUCCAGGCCUGAGUUUUUACCUCAAUCUGCUCUUUCAUGCAGGAUGUCUUUAGUAAAACUUUUGUUGCUGAAAUUGACUGUGAAUGAGUGCAGAGAUCACAUCAUACAGGGCAGGGGAGGGAAAACGUCUGCACAGUAGUCGUUGCUGAAAGUGGUCACCAAAAGCUGUAAAUUCACACAUUUUUACAAAAGUUGCUUUAGUUUUGUAAACUUUCUAUAGCUAAAAAAAUGCAUAUCACAUUAGCAUUCCUCAUUUAGUCGGUGCUAAUGCUAGCUAUAGCUGCUGCUGCUAAUUCUCUCCAGCUGCGACUACUCCGAAGAGAUUAUUGAAAUGGAUUUUGAGGCUUGUCGUCUUUUUCUAAGAACACACGCAGCUCGUGUUUUGCAAAUUAAAAUUGUGCGAAACAUUCACACUGAUGUUAUUUUCACUUCCUCAUCAGCUUGAUCAUCCCCUCUGGAUGAACGUAUAAUGCUUGACUGUGUUGGCUUGGUACUAAGUAAAUAAAAGCAGAUACUAAAUUACAAAACUUUGUUGGCCUGGUAUACUAUUCGUCUAUAUUUUCCGUUCAUUUUCCUCCACAAACAUUUGCAGAUUGCACUUCUCUUUUUCAUUAAAUUUCCGUGCAGAUGUUUGGGUUUGUCCUCAUGAACUUAAAAACACAAACAAAGCAGAAAAAGGUGUGUAAUUCCCACUCUUCUUUGGAGUACUUUCUGCCGUCAGCUGACCUUUAACACACAUCUUGCUUUGCUUAGCACACAUGCUCUCCAUUCGCACCAGCAGGAACAUCAGAGCCCUGCAUUUACACUGUGCUGUGAUGUUAUUAAUGCGCUGCUUAGUCAGUUGUCCGGCGACCUGCUUUGGCCCGGAGUAAACCCAAGUAAAAACCACAAGGUAAACAUCAUGAGAUCAGCCCGGGUGGAUUAGUCACAGCGCUUGUGUUUUAGAAGAGCGAGGAACAGCGAGGUUAUCUGUGUCAGAGUUUCAUCUGCUGCAGAGUUAAUACAAGCACAGCUUUGCAGGGUGAGGUUGGUGAGUAAUUUGAGCAAAAACCAAAUAAGUCCUGAUGGUAAAUAAGAGUGAGCAUGAAUAUUAAAAUCAGGAGACAGCACCACAAACCAAUCGCUGUGAGCUGAAAUAUAACAGCACAACUUUAAAACAUCUUAGCACGUCAGGAGUAAGUUAGCCAGUGUUUACAGCUGACAUUAUCCUCGACCGGUUACCACUGAUACAAGAUAAGCUCUGGCUCCAGGGCUCUUGAGUGCACUGAAUUGAUGAAGUGUUUUAUUACCUAUGACUUCAACAUUUUAUUAGUAACAUUCAGAAGUAAUGCGCAGUCAUCUUGCUUAAAGGUUCGAUGUUUUGUAAGAGCCCUGAGCUUUACUUUAGCAGCACAGAUGAUUGAUCUGAGCAGAGAUUGGUUGUAGCAGAAACUUCAAAGGAGGGCAGAGUAAUACUCUUUGCAUGCGGCGGUCAGCCUGGGAAAUGGAUCAGAAGGCAUGUGGUUGGAUAUAAUCAAAAGAAGGAGCUGUAUUGUGGACUCCAAGCAGAGUUCUGAUCAUUUCUUAUGGCUUUCCAGUUGGUCCCAUUAGUUGCUGUCAAAAACCUUAAAAUCGUCCUUUUAUACAGAGGUUUUUUUUUUAUUUGAAACCCCCGGAGUUAUUGAACUAUUGAGCUGAUCAUCUGCCAGCAGCCGUUUGAUUGGAUGACGUCUACAGAAGGGCUACAACAGUAUGCUUGUAUUGACUAGUAUACUAAAAAUAAGCAUGUUGUAAGACUGUAAGUUCAUAGUGGUGGUCCUUUAUUGUGGUUACCACAGAUGUGUUAAAGGGAUAUUCCAGCGUAAAAUUAAUUCAGGGUCAAACACACCGUAACACCGUGUUAGACACCCCCUCGAGAGAUGAAUGAACCGCUUGCUUCUCUAAUUAUACCAACUUUAGUAACAACUGCAGGAUAGCAAUACACAGUGGCAUAAAUGUUCUUCCUUGAGCUGCGUCACCCCGCAGCAGUACGUAUGGACUGGCCUGAGGUCUCGCUACAAACAAGCGGCUGCUGGAAGGGAGUAGGUGAGUUGUGUUUGGUCUCUUUGCUAAAGAAAUCAGGUAAAGUUAAAAAGAUGUUUGGUGGCAAGUACUAUGGCUGGGACCCUAUAUGUACUGUUGAUGAAGUUAGGUGCUGUUCUGAACAUUAUUUCUGGCUAUAGAGUGGCGUUUUGGUUGAGGUUUGUGUAUGGCUCCAUAGACCGCUGUGUAUUGCUAUCCUGCAGUUGUUACUAAAGUUGGUAUAACUAGAGAAGCAAGUGGUCGGCAACAUUCAUCUGUUGAGGGGGUCUCUAACUCAGAGUUACGCUGUGUUUGACCCUAAAUUAACUUUACGCCGGAAUAUCUCUUUAAAGAGACAAAGAAGAAGCAGAAGAUGUUAGCUAGCUAGCUGUAGCAACCCCCCGAGAGAUGAUGAGUCCCAAUCAACUUUCAAGCCUGUGCUUCCUUGAGGCUCCCAUUAAAAUGGUCAUUUAUACUUUUAAACCUUUCCUUAUACUGUUUUUAUUCAGUUUAGUAACUUCUGAUCUGCCAGACAUUAUCUUCACUUCAAAAUAAAAGCAUAGUUUUAGAAUGACCAUAAUAAACCAACCUAAACAGAUGGAAAAACAUGUCAAAAUAAAAGCACAACAAUCUCCAAAGAAUAAUUGCGUUAUUCUGUUUUAAAAUUAUUGAUAAAUAUUGUGAUAAUAUAGCUAACAUAGGGUGACCACAUUCUGAAUCUCCAUAAAGAGGACACGACUACGCAGGGGUGGAGUCACAGAGUUGCACAUAGUUUUUCGGGUCGGGUUGAGUGUUUUUAUGCUUCUAACUCAGUAAGUCCACACGACACAAACUCAAAACUUCCAUACAAAACCCCAUUUUGAAGGACAUUUGAAGGAUUUUAGUAACUACCCUGGACAAAGCCAUACAAGGCCAGACAUGCCGGACAGUUCCCAAAAAAGAGGACAUGUCCAGGUAAAAGAGGGCGUAUGGUCACCCUAGCUGACAUAUUUUAUGGCCACAGUGAUUGGAAGUUGAAAAUCUGAUAUCAUGAUAGCCCAACAAAGCUUAAAAUUAAAUCCCACUGACUGACUUUGACUCGUUUCUCCAGUCAAAGCAUUUCAUCACAUUUGUAUGAGAUAUACUGACCUGACAAAGUCCAAAUAUAAAUCUUGUUUUAAGAUAUUUCAGGCCCAGGCUGUCUUUAUAGGUCUCUCUGCACAGGCAGGGAUGCAUCUACAAAGUACAACCUCAUUCAUUAACUUCACCCAUGAGAUGCAGAGUUGAAAUCACUUCACCUGUCAGUGUUGUCAGUUACAUAAUAACAAUUGGUUUGGGAAAAAUCUGUUUUAAAUGAACUUUACUCCCACACAUGUAAGUUUUCUUCUUAUUUGGGGAGUUGUAACUAAAAAGGACCAAAGAAGGAGGUAAGAGAGCCGUGACUGUGGAUUAUUCAACCCCUCCAAGUCCAGCUGAGACACAUCUUUUUGCACAGAUUGUUUGGAGUUCUGUCUCAGACAGGUGUCCGACCGGUUGCUCAGGCCAGCUAACCCCGAGCCCCGGGCCUGGCUCUGGUGCCGUAACGCUGGAGGUCAGAGGUUAAUGGAGCAGAGUGGCGCCGGCCAGUCAUCCCCCAGGAUCCUGGGUGGAUUUGGUAAACAGUGAAGCUGUCACUGCAGAUUAAUACUGAGAGGAGGUAGAGCUGGGCCGAGCACACAGGGGGCUAAUGGCUUCCAACUCAGCCAUGAAAGUGCCUGUCUUCCCCAUUCUCCUCUCUCCCUCAUCCCCACAGAUAAGCCCCGCAGGCUUAGAGAAGGAGGAGGGACGAAGGGAGGAAAGGAGGAGGGAAGCAAAGGUAAAAAAAGGAGUUAGCUCCAUAAAGAAGAACUAACAAGAGGGCAAUAAUUACGAGUGCACUUGAGCUCAACAAAGUAAAACUAAAAGAGGGGAACAUCUUAAAGCUGCGGGACCUUCUUUUGAGGCAUGAAGGAGUUUUUGUUUCUUCCCAUUGUGCGAAUGUGCAGCUCAGCCUUGAGGUCAUCCAUUGGUUACAGCUGUAAGAGCACAACGCCAACUGCCAGCUCACCUCUGUGGGGGAUAUUCGGGGACUUUUUUUCCCCGUCUUAUCAAGCGUCUGCGAGCGUUGACACUUUGGUUAAUCUGUUAUUGCAUCUUCAACACGGGGCAGCUCACAACACUUGGUUUGCUGCUUGUAUCAAAGCAGGAUAUUGUAUGUCAAGUCUCCUCACAGCUUGAGAUUGUGGUUUCACUCUCACCGCAGCUCAUGCGACAGUGAAAGAAAUAAAAAAACUCCUGUUAUCUGCAAAGAGAAUUUCUUCUUAUGUCAUGAAUAUCUAAUGUAAGCUUAGUUUCCCUUUUUUUAUUUGCGGUUUGUGUUUUUCCAUUUGCGUCACUAUGAACGGUUCGAUCAAUUUAAUUCCUCUAUAGUUUUAUAAUUCAUACAAACAGCAAAGUUGUGUUGUUUAAAGGUCACAUAUUUCCAGUAUACAAAAAGAGUUGUGCACUACAACAAACACAUUUCUGCUUAUUUGUCUAAAAAGUGAAGGAUUAAAAACGUUCUUUUUGUAUUUUUACACAAAACAGCAUUUAAGCGUCUCCAGAUGUAUCAUAUGAAGUGUAAAGGAUGUAAGAUUACUUUUUUGGAUAAAUAUUAACUGCUUCACAGGUUUUGCAAAAACCUUUUCUAUGUUGGGUUAGCAUUGGGUUAGUAUUUCAGACUGUUUAGUUUCCCGUCUGUCCAACAGGUCUUCCUUUAAAAUGCUUGGAAAUGCCACCACUCUCUUGUGGGGUACCUCAGGGCUCUAUUUUGGGUCCCCUUUCAUUCACUGUUAACAUGCUUCCACUGGGGCAAUGGUUUGGCUUUUCACUGCUAUGCAGAUGACACUCAGGUCUAUGUGUCUAUGCUUCUAGUCUGGCACUUUCUGUUGUUUCUGAUACUUUGCUGUCUGGUUGAAAUCAAGAUUAAAAUUUCCCUAAAUUGAUUCUUAAUGACUCAUACUCUGAUGUUAUGGUCGUUACUAUCUCUGCUCUAGUUACGUUAAUAAUCCAUUCUCCAGCCUGGGUGCCUUAUCUAUUAAUGCAGCAAAGAUAGGGUGACUAUAUUCUGAGGACACGACUACGCAGGGGUGGAGUCAUGAAGUCUUACGAAGUUCAUUUUGAGAGUUCUUCAGGUCAGAUCGAGUGUCUUUUACGCGCGUCUGACUCAGAAAGUCCACGCAACACAAACUGGAAACUUCCGAACAAAACUACAGACAUUUGAAGGAUUUUAGAAAGCCGGACCAGGCCGGACAGCCCCCCAAUAAAAGGACUUGUCUGGGUAAAAGAGGACGUAUGGUCACCCUAGCACACAGGCCCGAAACCUAGAAAGUAUUUUUUUUAUUUCAAUUUUUCCUGUGAUUCUUUAGUGGCCAAAGUUUUGCAGUUUUAUUUUGCUGGGUUGGGAAAACAGACUAAACUCAGUUCUUGUAUUUUCCCCACUGACAUAGCAAAAGUCCUCAAGCCUUGACUAUUGCAAUACACUUUAUUUUGACAUCAGCAAGAACAUCUAAAGACUUCAUGUAAUUCAAAACCUCGCUGCCAGGCUUUUAACACAUAGCAAGAGAGGAGAUCAUAUAACACUGUAUCCCUCGCUGCCCUUCACCGGCUACCAGUGAGUUUAAGAAUUGAUUGGAAGACUUUUACAGCUUGUUUUUGGAGCCUUAAAUGACCAGGCACCAGCCUGUAUCUGUGAGCUGCUAACUCCCCAUGAGUCUGAGUGCUGCCCUCAGGUCUUCUUUGAAGGCCCUCCUCGUGGUUCCUACUGCAAAUGUGAACCAGUCAAAUGAGGUGACUGAGCAUUUGCAAUUCAGGCUUUAACAGCUGUGGAACUCCCCGCCUGGGGAUGUUUGACAAGACAAGUGGGUGUCCUCUUAUAAAUCUGUUCAGAAAGGUACAGUGAGUUGUGUUUAACAGCAUUUACCAAAGCAAGCGUGGUAGAAAUGGAGCAGGUAUUCACUCGUAUCUUUAAAGAACAGCCUUUAUAUAUAUUUUUAAACUUUUAUAAGCUUUUUAUACCAACAUUGGAGCGGGACCACUUCCAUGUAGGCGGUCUUUUUGUCACUACAGUAGCACAGACUGGACUUUGGUCAGUUUGGGUUGGUUUAAAAUGAGCUCCAGAGAUCAAAUUGACCCUACUCUGGCGUUUUUGGUUUAAAUCUGUGUUAAUGUGUGAAAGAACUGUACUCCACUGUACACAGUACCACUCAUUCCUCCAAUUACCCCCGAUGCUCCCACCCAGCUCUGCUGUCAGUUGGCCUGUGGGGGGGUCCAGAGCAGCAGAGGGAGGGGGUCCGUCUGAGCAUACUCUAUGCAGUCGUCCAUUGUACAGUCCUCACAAUGGGAGCCUUUGAUCUUAGAGGGGUGCACCUCUCUGUCUCCUCCAUCCCUCUUCCUCUUCCUCCUUCCUCUCCUCUUCCCUCGCCUCCUUUUUUUCCAGUAUUAACCUCGACCCUCCACGUACCGCCAAGAGGGCCGAGAGGAGAGAAAGGAAAUGAAACACUGAUUGAAAUGAAUGAAAAUGUAAUGAAGUGAGGAGAGGGCUGGAAGAUGGACCACAAAGCGAGGAGGGGAAACAGAAAUCAGUUGUUAUAUUAUUCCUCUUGUCCGUCCUUAUUAAAAGGCCCGGGGGCCACACUGAGAUGGCCCUUUGACAGAUUGUUUUCAGUAUAUUGCUCGGUCCCCUCAUCUCUACACUGACACAGAGCAGGUGCUGCCAAGACCAGACUUGAGCUUGGGAUAUGGAGGCUCAAGGAUGGGAGGCUUUGGUUUGCUAUAAGGGUGGGAGUUUACAAGGGGGGCCAGGCAGGACUGUAAGGCCCUAUACAUCCCCCGGUGAAGUCUGUCAGGUCAAUAUUUUCUGUACGUUGUGACUGCAUUGCUAAUUCUGCUGCUCCGAUUCAACCAAGCUCCCCUACUGGCUUACCGGCCACCACAAAGCCCCAUCAUGUCCUCUGUGCUUGGCUUUGGAAAACAGAGCCCUCCUCCCCUCCCUCCCUCCGUAACCCUCCCACCAAUAGCGCAAUGCUCCAGUGAGCGUCUAUAGAUUCCUGGAUCUGCACAGCGUUGCAUUGUCUCCCUGUCCUGGCCUUCUGCCAAGAACCGAGCCAGCUUUGGAAAGUUGUACUUCUCCAGAGCCUAAUCUUUUCUCUGCCCCGCUUCUUUUCUUGCUCCCCUCCCUCCUCCAUUCUUUCCUUUCUUCUCCCUGCACGGCUAUUUUCUUUAUGCCAGAGAGCCUGCGAGUAUUUACUGAUGCACUGGCAUUGAGGGUUAUUGUGUGUCAGGCCUGGAUGGAGUGCAAAAGGCGGAGUGGAGGGGUGGUGCAGGGGCUGCUGAAUAAACAAGGUUAUGCAGAUUGCACUGCAGAGAUCUGAGAUAUGGUUAGUGCUUUACAGCACAGCAAGUUCAUUGGAUAACACAAAGUAAUAAAAACAAAACUAUGUGGAACCUCAAACGGUUUCACAUAGUUUGGUUUUUAUUGGUUCUGGUUCUGGGGUCUCUGUCUAAGAUUUCUGUCACCAGCCAAUCACAAUGGAAGUUAAUGAAGUCAAAUUGUUUGGUGACUGAAACUUCCACGGUAACGUCUCUUCCCAGAAACGAAUCCCCGCUCGCUGCUCUGUCUGGCUCUUUCCCAAACCUCACUGUGUACAGUUUUCAUUGGAUCUACUCUACCGAAGGAGCCGUGGUAUUUCACUGAUAGUUUAUAGGGCUAAAAAUGCUUGAAACAAAGUGGUUGUAAAACAUGUUUUCCAACCUCACCCCAGGAAAAAGUGUCUGAAGGCUGAAGGUCUGCUAUCACAUUCGCUCUGGUUAUAUUUCACUCCCUUUCUUGAAAAAACACUUUUUUCGGCAUAUUUCUGCAAAUAUUCGCCAAAUUAGAAUUAUUAGUCGUUUCUUUUAGUAAAGCUCAGCGAAAGAGUCUCAAGCAUAGACUGUAUAAACUAUGGACAACUUGGUUUCGCCUGCCGCCAGUAUAUAUUCUGUGUAAUAGAUUUCUACAGUUUGUCCACAACUCCAUAAGGAUUGCUGGAGGAGGCGGGAUUUCUGACCUAUACUGCAGCCCAUCACCAGAGGGUGCUGUUCUCGGAGUGGCUUCACCCAGCUGGGAGGCAGAUGGCGUCCAUUCUAAGUACAGUCUAUGGUCUCAAGCUUCUUUUAGACAUGCAACAUCUUUAUAAUUUUUCUUUAUAGAGAUUUAUUUUGGUAGCUGUUACCUUUAUUUUGAAAGAACAGAACAAAUUAAUUCUAUGUGCAAAUGGACAAAUGUACAGACAUCACAGAGAUGAUCCUUCUUCAUUAACCUCUGAUAUUUUUGUUCAUCCUCCCACUUAUUGCUCCUCUGCGUUGGUUCACAGGGGUCACAUAGUUUAAAUGUCAUUACCUAAACCCACUUGUGUUGAAUGGUUCAUCUGAACCAUGACUUCAUGGUUAUUGAAGGUCAAAGAAAAGUCAUGGUGGAAAUUUCUGUCACUGUUGUUUUCACAUAUCGUUCACCCUGAUAUGUGGAGAGUCUGUAAGAGUUUAGGGUCAGGUACACAAUAAUUUAGGCCCCUGGUUAGCUAAAAGUUGUACAUGUACAGUCUCUCCUCUUAGAUACAAGAAAUAGGAGCGACUCAGGGUGCAACUGAUCAUGCCUAAAAUUCAUUAAACACCCUAAACAGAGCUUUUUCAAUCAAGGUACUGUAAGAAAACAGGUAAUUUACUGGAAAUAAUGCUGUUUUAGAGAAGAUCUUUGCAGGAGAGGCUGAGAGUCAAAGAGCUUGAACCAGAUCAGCAAAACGGCUAAAUUAAAAAGGAUUUUCAAGGAGCUGGUUUACUACACAGCUUUGCUAAUUACCUGUGGUGAUGCUAAUGCUUAACUUUGCUGCUUCAGCCUCCUUUUUUUUUAAUUCUCAGGGAUCAGACCAAGUUAUCACAUAAAUAUGCCUUUUUAUAUCGAGAAAUUGCACCAACAUCUUCAAAGUUUAGGAACAUAGUUGGUUAGGUUCAAUAAAUGACAGAUUUAAAGAGGGGGCAGUGGUUAAGCUUGUGCCACUUGAUCUUUGACACUGCAAAUGAAAUCCUCUGAACGGACAUGAAAGAUAACAAAUACGGAGAGCUCACCAGUUCACAUUCAAAAGGUUAUUUUAUCCUUAUGUCGGUAAACUGCUCCUUGACAAAAUCCUCCUUCUCACUUAUUGUGACUCAUUGUCUCAAGAACCGGCUCUGCUUUUCUCUGGGACAUGAUAAGACCCGUAUUUCCUGAGGGCAGCCUAACCCUACACUCCUCCACCCUGGAGUUGACCCCCCAAGCUUACAGUGUCGUCUCUCCCAUCAGCGCCCACACCCAAGGAGGGGUGGAGAGCGUCCCAACCCCGACAGCACUCUUCAUCCCAGACGUAAACACGGGUGACAAAUGGGCCGCAAUAUCAGGUAUCAGGUGUCGGCGUGGAAGAUUUAUAAGGUAACAAGACAAUGGGAGGCAGACACAGAAAGCCCCUAUCUACCAUCAGCACUGCAGCGAAAACCCACUUUGGUUUUAGGAGCCGUGGAGAGAAUGAUUUCCCCUUUAAUCCCUUGAGUUUUUUCAUCCAUGCAGCACAGAUUAGAAGCUCUCACACUGCUAAAUCAGAUGUUAGUGGCUCUGCAGGAGGACAUGUUUUGGUUUGCUGAUUGAAGACAGGGGAGGCAGGCACAAGAGGACUUGUUGUGAAAUGGAGGAAGUUCCUACUUAUGGAGAGGGAAGUUCGGGGUCAUGUAAAGCUCGGUCUGGGAUGGAGAACGCAGUUGCUCAUGUCAUCCGGUUUCACAAUCAGCAGCUGGUCGUCUGUCUGUACAAAAGUCUUGGAGAAAAAAAAAACUCCCCCUUUCUCUUUGUAUUAAACCGGCUUAAACAUCCUGUUUUUGUUGGUGGAUGUUUUGAUUUUUAAUAAAAGUGCUCAGUAUAUGAUCAGCGUGUGUUUAUGUAGGAGGGGAAGAAAGUUAAAGCUGCAGACUGCACAGAUGCAAUCAAUCAAGGAGUGCAGAAAAAGUUCAUUACACUCCCUGUUCAGAGCUAUAAACUUUUGUGAUAUGUUGACGGUGUAUACAGAGCUGAAAUGAUAAAAUAGAGCUGUUAUCUGCAGUCAUCUGAUUCACAGUCACUCCCUUUGGGUGUGGAUUUCAACACAAGGCCCUUCAGUUUUUAGCUCUGGCCGGGAUCAUAUGUGAAAGUGAAUUUGAUUAAUUAGGUCACAUGUACUAAUAGAUAUUAAUAUUUAACUCAGUGGUACAUUUAUAAGACGAAAAUCUGUGUUCUGACUAAUCGGCCAUCGUUAAAAGGAUGUUCCAGCAUAAAAUUAAGUUAUGGUCAAACACACUGUCACACUGAGUUAGACACCCCCUUGAGAGAUGAAUGUUGCCGGUUUCUUCAUGGAAAUACAAUCAGACUGAGCCGCUAAGGCAGAAGAACUACCGCAUCUGCAGUGCAAAAUGAUUAAUAUGAUGAUUAUUACUUCAAGGAAAUGAUAAAGUAAUGAUCAUAAAUGUUCUUCCUUGAGCUGCGUCACCCCACUGCAUCUGGAGAUGGACUCGUCCGAGCUCUCCCUACAAACAAGCGGCUGCUGGAAGAGAGUAGGUGAGUUGUGUUUAGUCUCCUUGCUAAAGAAAUCAGACAAAGCUAAAAAGAUGUUUGGUGGCUAGUACUAUGGCUGGGACCCUAUAUGUCCUGUUGAUGAAGUUAGGUGCUGUUCUGAAUAUUGUUUGUGGCUAUAGAGUGGUGUUUUGGUUGAGGUGAGUGCGUGGCUCCUUAGACCGCUGUGUAUUGCUAUCGUGCGGUCGUUACUAAAGUUGGUAUAACUAGAGAAGGAAGUGGAGUAUCCCUUUAAGGUGCAAACACAGGAUCACAGAUUCAGAAGCUCCAGGUUUUCUGAAUUUGGAUUAAGUUUGCAGAGCUAGUCCUCUUUGCAGAUAGACAACACACUGCUAUGGCCAUGUGGUUAUACGCCAAGUUAGCCAUUCACAGCCCAAAGUAAAACAUCAUUUCCAUUGUCCAAACUGGACCACACUAGAGGAUAUCAUCGGUCAUAACAUAGCAUUAUGUCAAGCUAGUUGUACUACCACUCUGACUCAACAUAUGAGCGCAAUUUAAGCCAAUACAAAUACAAACAUAAAUGAUUACAACCAAACUGAAAGUUCCUCAGAGGAGCUUUAACAGCAGUAGAUAAGGCUCAUGAAUAUAACUGACCUCUUUCACCUUUUCACAUUCUUGUUAUUUUGAUAUUCUGACAGUAAAAAACGAUCGCUGACAGUUAAGGGCUUUUAUUUUCCUUGAGGUCUGUUAGUCAUUUAUUGUGCAGAAACAGAAACCUCAGCAGCGCCGAAGGACCCUCACAUCCAUCUCUGAGGCAUCCAGGUGCUGACAUGAGAAAGAGGAGUUGAGUGUGGGUGCCGGAGGAAGGAGGUGCUGGCGCCGCGUACCACCAGAUCCACAAAGAUCAUUCUAGAGAUGGUGUUCCUGACACGUGAAAACUCUGCAUGCAGAGGACAAGACGCACACUCCCUCUCCCUCCCUGCAUACAUCACACAAUCACCCACCACCUCCUCCCACGCUGCACGCCCACGGCCACCCUCAGAGGAGCUGAAACUGGAGACCUAAACCUCCACCCGUCAUCCCCACUCCCUGUCCUUUGUCUCCUCACAAUGUGGAGUGAACAGAUUCCUCGUGCAUUUCCUCAGGGAGAGGCUACAGAUUUCGUGUGUGUGGAGGAUUGUGUGUUCGGGUGUCCGAGUGCGUGCGUUGCGUUAUUUGUUUGUAUGUUUUUACCCUCAGUUAACCUCUUUUUGUUUGACUCUUCAUUACUCACUCUGACCAUGACACAUUUUCCUCUUAUUAAAGAUUUGGACUCACAGGUUGAGUUCAAACCCAUGACAUUUAAAAAUACUCUUAACAAUGCGUUUAAUUUGUCAAUUAGUUCUCAUAUACCUGAAAAACUCUAAAACACUUCAUAAAAAUUAACAUUUAAUUAAGUCAGUGUGUGUUAAUGUGGAAGCUGUUGCUACUGGUGACAAACUAAUAGGACAACACAACCCAACGCUGCAGUUCCUAUCAUCUAUAUGGACCUUGUUUUGUAAGGAGAAAAUUCAGCUUUGGGUGAUUUGCAGCCUGAACUAAAUGCAAAGAAGUUUGUGUGGUUGACCCUGAAAAUAAACUGCAAACAUGGAGAUAGAUUCUGUUCUCGUCCUGUUCAUAGUUACCCAAAUCAAACAUGACAACAAAAAUUAAAAAAUGAAUAAAAAUUGCCAUAAAUAAGACAGCAAAGGACUCUGUGUUAGUGAAAUCUAUUACUAGUUUCUAUGGAAGCCCAACAAUGGCAGUCCCCAUAACAGAAAUAUUAACUUAAUCCAACAUUUAAUCUAACACUUAAUCCACUUCUAGACUUCUAUAAUCAGCAUCUCCUCAUCCAUGGUGUCAUCAAGAUGAAAUGCUAUCUAUAAACCUUUUACUUGUUUAUCCUCGCCUGUUUGCAUGGUGUGAAAUAUGAUCUGCUUGAAACAUGGAGUGUUUUAUUUUGAAAAGAAGCUGGAUGUUUUAUUUUGUGUCUGUGCCCGACUUCGAUCCACAGCGAAACGGAAAGAAGACGGACACAUUAACUUCAAUGGUUACGAUCAGCUACGGUCGACGGAUAUGGCCUUUUCGUAGCCAUUUCCGAUGCGGUGGAAAUUGACAAAUAGAGAUGGAGCUGAGGUGGACUUUAAGCCUCCGGGCAAACAGCUGCAAUAGUAAACCUGACAGUCAGAAUUUAAGAUUUAUGUCAUACUCCAAGCUUUGACCCAAUCAAAAGGAGUGUUUGUAAAAAACUGUGAAUUUAAAGGUACAGUGAGUAAUAUUCAGACAGAUCUACAGACUUGGUUUAAAUGCAAUAAAAUGUUCAGGGGUGAGUAAGGGGUGACAAAGGGAGCAUUUUAAUCCAGACUCUGCCCAUUACAUAUUGCUAGAUGUUCCCAUACAAACUGUGGUUUGGUGCUGAAAUAGGGAUUUCCUCAGAUUUUGGAACAAGCCUCAAAUGGACUCUUGAAGAACUGCAGUUUGUUUUAACAUUGGCAAUAGUCCUUUAAUAUUUCCUCCACACAAUAGCACAGUUAAGACGGCCUUUUGCACGUUUGUACACUCCCACUCUGCUUGCUUUGUGAUCCUGUCUCACCUCUGUUGCUCCUCUGUAACCACCUCUGGUGCCAGUAUCGCCAUUGGACCACUCAUUCCCGCCAUAACGUCUCUGUGACAUUCAUAUUGAAGGGGAAAUAUUACAGGGGUAUAAAUAUUAGACUUCAGUAAACAGAAAGGUAAUAAAAUACUGAAGUUCAAUCCAACAAAAAUGACAGUGAAGUCGGCUUUUAUUUACCGGCUCUGGCAGACUUUAAAACUGAAAUCUCUUCAAGCUUAAGUGUUACCGAUCCAAACCGCUGUGUCUUUUAACUUAUUCUUUUAUACAGCACAUUACUGAGAAAGUUCUGUUUCAGCAGUAUCCUUGAACUGAGCAUCUGAAAGAGGCCGGUUGUUUUAAGUUACAGAGCAUAAAUCAUAGUAUAAUCCUAUAAUUAGCUCCUUGACUGAAUCUGUUUAUAUUACGUUAUUUAUUACAGCGGGUCAUCAUCAGUCUUGUGAUUGCACUUCAGUAAAAACCACACAGCAACAUUUUUCCACUGCCGUCUAAACAUGGCGUCACACCAAAUUCUUCAAGUCGGCUCGGUGGGCGGAGUUUUCCCAGAUGGGUGCCGGCGUUGAGCCCUGAUUGGCCGACAGAGACGGUUGCACUGAGUGACGGGCUGUCAGAGGGGAUCCAUCGGGGGGACAAUGUGCCCGCUCAGAGGCUCAGAGGUCAGCCUGUUAACAACGGCUCCUCUGGUGAAGUUUGUUUUCUAGCAAGGAGCCACCUUUUCAUGUGUGCCACUCAUUAUCAGAGCUCGUGCCCCCUGCUGCCUCGAACAAGGCCGUCUGUUUGCACCACGUUGUGUGUCUAUGUGUGUGUAUUUCAACCAAAACCCUCUGCCUCUCUUCCUGUGACCCUGUUUUGCCAGAAAUGGAGCGCACACAAUGUGGAAUCCGACUCAGGUUGACCUGAUCUGAUCUAGGCCUCGACUGUGUUUGGUUUGGCAUCGACGUGGAACAGUCCUUGUAUGUUUUAUCUGGAGAACCUCUAUCACUUUGCUGUAGUUUUACUCGAGCUUUCCCAAGCCUAUAAUAACCACAGGCAGCAUCUUUUCAGCUAUUUCCAGCUGUCUGCGCUCCAACCCUUUACAUAAUCACUGUUACAAAAGAAGAGCGGACAUCUUGAAAAACACUGAGCAGAUAUGGAAUCGUUCCUGGAAUGUGGUUCCCCUCGGGGAGUCGAUGUCAACAGGGGGCAAUUUUUUAGGGGAUGCCAGAGAGGAACAGUGGACGUGCUGUGGAGGGACGGACCAGCAAAGAUCAAUAGGCUGGAGACAGAGGGGUGUUGUCUUGAGCAGAUAGACUCAGGCCUCUUCUGGGAGAGCUGAGAGAUGGACCGAGGCUGUAAAUUCAGCCUAAUAUGUGCUUGUGCAAGAAUGUAUGGAUAAAGGAGCAUUUGACUCUAAAGCUAUGAGAUUAAGAUGUUGCAACCAACCCUGGAGUGUGCAUUUAACCAUUAGCAGUUAGGAUUUACAGCAGAUUUAUAAUACUUCAUUUGCUAAGCAGCAUUUUCCAUAUGGGCAGUUAUUUGUUUAGCUUGUUCAGAGAAGUGCUACAAAUCAGUUUAACCUUGCUGGGUCCAACUCUUGUACUUAAAAAAGGAGGUAUGGACAGAAAAAUAAAACAUUAGCAUCUCUACAUGCCAUAAGCAAAGCUAAAGCUAGAGCCUAAAAAAUGAUAGUCUUACUCUUUAACUCUCAGCUUCUCCUGCAAAGAUCUCCUUUCAGACAGCAUUAUUUUCAGCUCUUCACAGUCUGCUUUAUUUUGAGUUCUCUUUUCAUAUUUUGUAAAUGGUUCACUUUGUUACUGGCGUGAAACUUUUUCUCAGGAAUAAACUACCAUGACUCUGCCUCUUCUUUCAUGUCUCAAUGAAAGGGACAUGGUUUUUUGCUGCAGACUGAUGGUGUGUAAUGUGGAGAUAAUUUUUCCCAGUUAGCCCCCGUUUCUUGUAAUGAAGACACCACUGAGAUUAAUGACCUUAAAACUCAUAUGGUAUGCAUGUAUGUGCAAAUUUCUGCGUGCAAACACAAUGUCUCAAUGUGGAUGUACUGAAUGCAUUUCUGUGCAUGUGUGUGGGUUCAGUUGGAUGUGUGUGUGCCACUUUUUGAGUCGAUCAAAUGUGGCCUUCUCUCUGCAGAAGAAAGCAGCUCACUGUCUUCAUUCUGUCCAGAGUCUGAGGUCCAGCCUGUCUCAGUCCGGGUCCUGUCCUGCAUGUCUGGAACUCUGUGUCUCUGCACGCUGAAGCUGGGCCUUGUUCCCAGCUGUUUGUUCAGCUGGCCCACCAGCGGGGACACCAGGGACUCAAAGCCCCCCCCUCUCCUUAGCUCUACCCAGGCCCAGUCGGACACCUCCACUGCCGCACCCACCCAGGUCAGCAACCUCCUGACCCCCUCACCCGGGGGGUUAUUUGCUCUGAGGCCAUCGUUUAAGAAGGGUGUUUUGUUCGGCCCUCAUUUGGUCUGCAGUCUCGGCUUAGGCUCUUGUCAUCAGUGCCAUUGAUCUGCUCCAAAUGAGCUGAUUAGGGGGCCUGCAGUUUGUCCUGGUGAGUGGGCCGGCCUGAGCUGGGCUGAGCUCUGCAGGAUGAGGAGGGGGUGGUGGUGUAGGGGGUUAUGAGGAUGAAGGGGUCAGAGUGCAUGCAGAGCAAACACAGUUGGGCAUUCAAGCUCAAAGAUGCAACAUGAAAUUAGUGGUUGUUUGAAGAGGAUUGGAUCAAGCCCGUUUGGCUGUGUUUGUUAUGUCUCCUCAGACCCCCGUGGAUUCAGUGAUGCUGCAGCGCUCAGAUCAGUGUUUGGUUUUCUCUAAUGGACCCCCUUUCACUUUGUUUUUCAGCUCUGUGAAGCUUUCUCUAAUGCCGUGUGGCCUAUUUUAAGCGGCGUGCAUGCAUACCUACCAUAGGCGUAGAUUUCUACUGACUUCCAAAUGCUGCAAGAUUGUCCCCUCCUAACCUAAUCCCUCACUGGUCAGGUUCCUGCAGGGUUACUGGGUCCUUUACAGAGACUUUACUGUAUUAUAAGGAUGAAUUAUAUAUCUAUAUAUUAUAAGGCAUUAAUAACCACAAUGUUCAGCCUUCAUGCUUCUCAAACUUCAGUGAGUCAUCCUUUCCUUUUCCCCCUCUGUUCAGUUUUAAAAAAAUCCACUCAUUAUAAUGGUUAUCACAUGGAUUUUAUUUAUACGGAGGAUUAGCCACAGCAUGUCCAACUGAUUGGUUUCUUGCGUCAUUCAAUCAAGAAAAUCUCAGAAACAGCAGUCAGACCACCACAAAUUACAAAACUGUAACUACAUCGAAUGGGCAGUUCUCUUAGAAACAGAGAACUUUUAGAUAUGAAACCCACAUCAAUAGAUAGACACAUUAACGACUUAUAUUUGAUUCAUUACUUUGGGGGUUAACUGUGUGAAAAAGAUCUUGAUGUUUGGCAUUCUGCCACCACCAUCUAUUUUUAUCAGUCAGACAGUCUUAAACUCCCAGUUUCAUGAUUCUCUCCAGUCUGGAUCAGGAAAGAAGAUUUAAUCUCGUUUGGGUUCAUCCCCAGAGUGAACAGAGGAAGUGGACAAAGCAUCUUUGUUUUAGAGGAAGAACUUUUACAAAGCACUUUAAAUCUGCACUCUUCCCAAUGACCAGCAGGGGGAGAUGCCCCUGGUUGUUAAAACAUGAACACUGCACCCCCAAUCAUCUCUCAUUGUGAGAUAUGGAAACAAACAUGGUGCUAUGUUGCUUUGGUGGAGCCAGCACAUGCCUUUACUUCACCUGUGUAAUACGUUAGCACCCAUUAGCCGUUGUUUUGGCAUCAUAUCAAAUUACACUGGUGUUGAUAUCAACCAGAGGAGUCUAUCCCUGCUGAUGUGGUGUACUGGGGGAGGGGGUCGCUGGUGUCUUAAUGAGUGAAAAAGUGCUGCAGAUGUGCCCAAGUCAAUGCCCAGAGAGUACAUCAAAUGUGGGAAAAAGUGCAAUCUCAGUUCCCUGACAGUGGUAAAAACAUAAUAAGUUCCCUCUGGAUGUCCCUCCAGUGUAUAAAACAUUGACACAGUUUCUUCUAAAUGCCCUUCCAGUAUUAAAAAUGUGAAGAGGUGUCCUUGGAUAAUCUUUAAAUGUGUAAAUUCUAUAAUAGUAUUGUCUUAAUGCUCUCUAGAUCACUUUCAAAUUAGACAGUGUCCUCUGGGUCCCCUGUUAAAUCCUCUUUCUUUCCUCUCACGGUGAGAAAUGUAAAUGAAAGGUAUUCUGGAGGCCCUUCAAGUGUAUAUCUCUCUUUACUUUAGAAACUUACCUUUAAAAUGUGAUUGUUUAAUUAGUUUAUUUCUGUUUAUCAUAUUUUGAGUAACAAUACCCAACCAAUUUUUUUAUGAAGAUGUGAAACAGCAGAUUAGAUCUUACUAGACUGCUCUUUCCUUCAAACAUAAGCAACUUUCAUUACUUGUUGAUUAUGCAUGAAUAAUUUUGCUCAAAAUUCCUGCAGUCUGAUCAACAGAGCUGUCUAUCAGUCAUCUUUUCUUCCACACUGAACACUUGCACAUAAUCAAGCAUGAAAAGCACUAACUAUGAUAACAGAAGGCAAAUGUUUGUCCCAGUUUACAUCUGUUUUAAUUGAGGAGGCAGGCUUUGUGACAUGUACCGCAUACAGCCACCAGGGGGAGCUCUAAAGGUUCUGGCUUCACUCAGAAUAGUUGCAGCAGAUAGCAUGCCAUACUCUCAAUCACUAAUUUUGAGUAUUUUCCAUGCUGUGCAGCUUAAUUCUAUAAAUUGCAUAAUCUUAUUUAGAGUAGAAAUGGAAAAUAAACCACGUUAUGUUUUUAGGCCUGACUCUAUGUGAUUGGAAAGUUGUUUCCAUGUCUACAAGAGAGACAAGAACUCCAAAUAUGGCUCAAAAAUAAGAUGUUGUCAGUGGAAAUAUCAAACUUGAGGCUUCAGAGGCCAACACACAAACAAAUGUGUGAUCUGACAAUGACAACAUCUGUUUCUUUUGUGUAAUGGAAGGUUUUACUCCUUGGUUAAGUGGUUUCUCACACACAAAAUGAACCAGAGUCCAUUUCAGCUCGACUAAACACAAAGGAGACAGCCACAGAAUCUCCCGUCUACACUCACGCUUUAAUGUGCGUCAAAGUUUGCCUCUUUUUUAUCAGCCUUUGGACCUUUUAAUUACAGUCUUAGCGUAAUCUAACACUCCCACUUCUCACUCUGUAAACCGAGUGUCCUCCCUCCUCUCGGGUCAAGGAUUAAAAUGGAGACCCGGCUGAAUGAGCCGCACAUAGACACAGAGAUAAGGAGGCAGAGACACAAAGAGGUUACCUACAAUUACGGACACAUUUGUAGAGGAAACACAAACAGAAAAUAAUGAGCAGUGUUGUCUAUCGGCGGACACAGUCGGCUUAUGCGUGGUCAGAGACUCUCUUCAUAGAUCUGAUCUGAAACCAGCCACAAAGAGGUCUUUGUUUUCCCACUUGUUUACUGCAAGCUGAUAUUUUCCACAAAUUGAGCUGGUUUAUAGUGUGAAAACGUUUCUUCCACUCUGAUAGUUAAACUGCAAGUAUGUUGGACGGGUGUCAUGUGCGGUAAUUAUCCAGAGUAGAUGGAGCUGUUUUCCCCGGCUUAAGCUUCUCUUUUUUUUUUGCUCUGCUUCACUGUGCCACAGGUCAAAGUUCACGAGGUUAGGGCGGACGGACACUGUGUCCUCACAUCCGUCUUCAUUAGAGGUCUGGAAGUACUCAGUGGUCAAACUUCCUUCUCCUCCACUUCUUGCUCUUUCUUUUCAAAACUAUCUGUCCAUUACUGAUAAACAGCUACAUGAGAAGACGGAGCUUAGUAGUGUCAACACAGCGCUGCAUGACAUGAUCCACCAGUCAGAUCAGCAGUAAACAAUGCCUACUCCCUCCAACAGGCUUUUCCUGCGCUGAAUUAAAGUUUUAACUUGUGGAAAUAAGGAUUUUCAUUUUGUUUACUCUGGACUUGUGACACGUUUGCUUGGAUUAGAGCUGAUAGGACACUUAAGUCACGUUUAAGCCCCUAAAUGAAUGCACUUAUACAGUCAGGUGUCCUUAAGUGAACAGCCAGCACACUCUCACCUAAACUUGUUGUACUUAAGAGUGACUAAAACUCACAAAGUGCAACUUCACAUGGCGUGGAAAAUCACUAAAUAAGGAGACAGAAGCUGCCAAUCUUCAGCUAAUGUGGAGCACAGUGUGGCUAACUCUGAUGUUGUUCCUUUGAGUUGCAGCGUCAUGUUUAAAGCUCCUGUUAGGAGUUUUUUUGACAUUUAUGAAAUUGGCUGAAAUUCCUAAAGAUGCCUUUUUAGGAUAAACAAAAGCAAACAAGACCAUCAGAGACAAGAUUGGCGAUGUUUAUUCUGUUAAUUUUAACUCCUGAAACUGGUGAUAGGUGAUAAGCCGUUUUUUUACAUUUCUGGCAUCAAGAAUCUACAAAAAAUUAUACAUGUGUCUUUCAAAGAUCAGGGGGAUGAGAUUUUUUACAAAGAAAACUAUCUCAACAUGUGAAGGACCUAAUGAGAGAAGAUUACGGUAGCUCAUUCUGUUUGCUAGGUUAGCUUGAACUGUUCACAGCUGUGAACAGCUGUGAACAGCUACGAAGGCUGCAUCCGCUGAUCGUGGCUGAUGGUAACCAUUCAAGUUAAUAUGUCAAUUUCCACCGGCUUCUUUCCAUUCUGCUGCGGAUCGCCGGACUUCGCAGCUGAUCGCAAGAGUUCUAUUUUUUCUGGACAUCGGAGCAUGGCAGUUAAAUCCAGCACAGAUUAACUUGUGCUGGAAAGGAAGUUGGGCAAGUUGCGGGGAUGAACAAGUGAAAGGUUUUUAGACAGCAUUUCAUCCUUAUGACACCAUGGAUGAGAGGAUGCUGAUUAUCAUGCGACUGCGCUUGAAUCUGCAGGGUUUUGUAAGUUCCCGUGAUUCCUACUGUCCGUAAUCUGCUACGGCAUUCGCCUCGCAAAUGGAUCUGGUAGGAAUUGGCGUAAAGUGAAAAUCGCCACCAUUCCAGAUCGGAGUUGUUCUGGUUGCGGUGAAGAUUGGGUGUAAGAGUGGCUCAUCUCUGGUCGAUGGUAACUUUAAAUGUUGGCUAAGGUAACAUGAGUUAUACUAGAGGACUGCUCAGAAUGAGUCUGCACCUCAAUAUUAUGUUUUUGAACCUAUUACACCAAAUUUUCUCCAGAGUUAAGUUAUUGAAGAGGCUCUACAUUGACAAUUUACUGCUAUAGUUCCUGUACUGAGCUAACUGGAUGUAGCUUUAUGUUUAAUAGGCCAGUAUAAUAGAAGUAUCUUCUCAUUCAACCUCUUAAAAUAAGUAAAAUGAAAACAAAUGUUGCAUAUUUUUAUUGUACUGCAGAGAAAGUUUCAGGAGAUUACUUAACAAUGGAGCAGAACAACCAGGAAGAGCUCCCUGAGAUGCUUCUGCUGAUUUCCUCUCCUGAUACUCGAGUCCAGCUGCUCCGCUAUAAGAUCACAUCCCAUUUUCUCAAAUGUCAAAGCAGUCCUCCAAACCCACAUAAUGCAAACUUAACCCUCCUGUCCCUUUCAUUGAAUUCAUCCAAAAACAUGCUCACUCCAGUCAUGUGGCUCCGGCUGUAAAGAACAUCCUAAAUCCCCUCAGAAGUUCUGCAAACCAGGGCCUAUAGAGGAACAUCAAACUGGAUCUGAACUAGACCAAACUGGAUUAAAGGAGACACUCGAUCAAACCGGCGCAGACAUAACACAUGUGAGGGGACUGUCCCUCUUCCUCCCUGUGGUCCUUAUCAGAACAAUGACAUCACUGUGGUGUUGUCCGCCUGUGACAUUACCAAAUAUGUGGCGACUGUUGAGGGGGAAAAGGAGCAGAAGAGUGAUGAUGGGAAUGAGAAGAAGAUGGAAAGAGGGAUGCAUUGACCGAGACAGAAGCAGUGUUUGAAAGAGAAAGAGAGGGGGGAUAAGAGGGAGAAAGCCUCGAGCUGCGGCUUGGCUGAACUCACCAUGAACCUCUGCAGAUUUAUUUUCUCCAGAGCCUGUUGCUUGCUCAAAGGGGGCCAGAUUUACAUGCUUCUCCCCGGGCUGCUGUGCAGAGCGGCUCAGGGAGAGCUGAGGAUGGGAUAAGUGGACAAUAUGGAGCCUUUCUGAAGGUUACAAAGGUUAGAAGGAAAUAAGGUCGCAGGUAUAGAGCCCACUUUCUUCUCCAUUACUCCCUGGCCUUGGGUUGAAUAUUCCUUCUUACCAGCUCGCCAAGCUAAUUAGAAACACUCCCUCUAUUAAGCGGGGUGUUUCAUUUUAAACCCCGUCAUUUGUUGCUGGCAGAGCUGGUGUGAGCCGAUGGAUCUCUGCUCCCACAGCUCGCCGCCUGCAUCAACCAACGGUCGAGGUUAUGUAAUUUUUAACACGAUCUGGUUUAUGUAAGCUGAAACAUAAUGGGCCGCUCUGACACAUGCACAGACAAGAGAAUCGACAGGAAUCAGUGUGUGCACAAAAACAGGUGUGGAAGUCAUCUCAGGCCUUAAAUUACAAGAAAACAGGAAGAAAUCAACCGACACACUUGAAGUUUUCUAUUCUCAGAUAUGUUGAGGUACUGCAUUAAUUAGCUGCAACUAUCAAUCAGUAUGUUUACUUAACACUCGAGAAAACCGAAUUAUUGCCUCAUUCUGAUUAAGACCGGACAACUGAAGUGCAUGUGAACACCUUAGUCCGACUCCAAUCGGAGUUUGAGAACUCCGACUAAGACACCCAGAUAAUGCGAUUGGAAUUCGAUUUUCUCUACCAUGUAACCAGCGGAGUUGGAGUAUGAUCGGACAAUGCAUGUGCGUGUGCGCCACGCCCCUGUAACCCCAGAUCAAAAACACCAGAGAAGAGGAGUAGCGUGCACCACAUCUGUAGAAAAAGUAGCGCGUACAUCAUGUAAGACAAAAACAACGCUGUACGAUUCUCCAUCUUCUUGCUCGAAAACGCUCAGCGGCAGUUGUAGACACUUCUGAUGUCUGGUGUUGUUGGGUCAACCAAAAACAGCGCCGCUAAAAGGACCCCUAGUUUUGGGGAGGGGGACACAUUCACGUAAAUAAUUCGAUUUUCUCAGCUGCAUGUACACACAGUCAGGGAGAGAAGUGCGAUUCGGCGAAUUAUGAGCUUUAUCCAAUUAAGCUGUGCAUGAAAACGACUGAAUGUAUAUACUGAAUAAAACUGUUUAUAGUAAUUUUUGGGGGUGUCUAAUGAGAUUUAUGACACUUUUUAAAAGCAGCUGCAUCUUGUCGCUUCAUCUACUGAAUAUCUGAAAUAAAACAGUGAAGCUUCAGAAAAAUCAACCCCAGAAACUCUUGUACAAGCGACCCUGCACGCAGCGCCAAAACUGUGGUAAAAAUCUAAGACGUAGAAAAUUCACCUCUUGUUUAGUUUAAUUGGACUCUGUAUGUGUUACCUUGUCAACUCCUUCCAGUAGAGUGUCAGUAGAGUAUAUCUUAUCAAGACAGAAUUGUGUGCAAGCUCACAGCUGAGGCCGCUGAGGAGGAGAGGAAUUAACUAGCUGUCCUCUGACUCAACUCUCUGUGAGCUGCUUGUGGAAGCAGAGGUCAGCCACUCCGGCUUUCAGUUCAUUUUCCCCUCCCUACAUUCUGCUGUUUUAGCUGAGGAGGCCAGGGUGGGGGUGACAUUAGGGGGUCCGAGGGAGGAAGGAAGGCCCACAGCUCCUGAACCCGCUUUGUCUGACAGGUAACGCUCAACACGCCUGUAGGAGCGGCCCAGCUGUGACCUGGAGGAGGGGGUGAUAGGGUGAGAGGGCAGACAGGAGGUAAUUGUAAAACAGCUCUGCUCACUUGAUCAUGAUCUCAUUUUUGAUUUCACAACUUAUGAUCAAGACAAUGGAAAACAACAGCAUCAAUGAAAUUGCUGGUUGCAACACAUUUUUAAAUCUUUGCAGACUAUUUUUUUUAGGACUUUGCAAUUUUUGUUCUCCCUCCUCAGAAGAGUAGAGGAACUUUCUGUUGCACUCUUUGCUAAAUAUGUCAAGUUUACUUCCCUAACUGACUGCAAUGCUAAUACAUUUAAUUUGCUGAGUCAGAUGAAUUAGUGAUAAUGUGUAAUGUGAUUUUGUGUAUCUCUGCUAUAAUCAGAAACAGAGAAGUUGGAGUGGAAAGAUUUUAGUCUCCGGAGUCUUGGCGAUUCUUUCCCCUCAUAUUUUGAUUGGCCUGGUCUGCUUGUGUAAUAAUGCUUACAUAACCUCCACAUUGUAAUGAAAAAUAAAUUAAUGGGCGUCUUUUUUUUUCUCAAGGCAAGCUGGACUAUCAUAAUAUGUGUGCCGCUGUGAUUUGAGAAAAUGUUUAAAAAGAAUAGAAAAGUUACAGGAUAAAUCUGAGAACUUUAUUGCAAUGUGACGGAUUAUAAAAGUUAGUGAGGUCCAGUGGUGUGUUUGUACGAUUGGAGUUUAGCUGCUGGAGUGAACUUAAGAGGUUCUGGGCAGAUGUCUGGAGCUCUGCCUGAUUUCCAAUAUGGAUAUGAGACUCUUGACUCUGACUUCAAGUGAUCCAAAUCUGUCCCAGGACUGGAAAGAUGUGGAUGUUGACUAGUCCUGGGUUUGGAUUGAUCUGGAUCUUGACCUCGUCCAGGAUUUAGAGGAUCUGGAACUUGGUCUGCCAUUCUGCUAAGAUGUGGGGUUUUCAGGGGUUUUAGCAGGGACACAAGGCAUGUCUUAAUCCUCAGAAUUAUCGCCUUCUGGCUAUCGUCUUCUGUGCCUAGAUCGUAAAAGACUGGUGCAUCAUCAUUAUUGGUCCCCGGCAGCUCACUUCCGUUGUAGCUUCUUUUAUUUGCAUCCUUUUAUUUUCACACUAACUUUUUUUUCCAUUGCCACUUUUUGUUACAUCAUUAACUUGUGUUGUGGCUUUUCUUUGUAUCUGUACUGCUUCUUUUUACCUCCGCCAAGGAGGUUAUGUUUUCAGUAGCGUUGGUUUGUUUGUAUGUUUGUCUGUUAGCAACUUUACAGAGAAAGUAACAGACGGAUUGACCUGAAAUUUUCACCAGAGGUGCGUCUCAGCCCCAGGACGAUCCCAUUACAUUUUGGUGGUGAUCCAGAUCGCCUUCUGGAUCAAGGAAUUUUUUUAAGGAUUCUUUAUCAUUGUAAGAUAGGGCAAAUUGUGGAAUUUUUGCAUUUAACUCUGUAAAAAUGGCCAGAGUCUUUAGUAAAAAAUUACACAAAAUGAUCUCAAUGAGUUUUAUGAGGUGUCAAAAGUUGAUCCUGAUCCAGUCAAAAUUCCGGAUACUGUGAUCCGGAACACACAAAAAUAAGGGUGUUGUUGGAAUUUUCAAUGCUGAAAGAUAACCAAUAAAGAAACAAGGAAGUGUACGCCUACAAAUAUUGCUUAACUAAAUCAUGCAUUUAUGUAUCUAAUAUGAGCUUUGUUGUUUUAGGAACAUUAUGAACAGUGAACAUACCAGUUUAAACACAAAUAAAAUUUAAUAAAAGACACGUAGCAGUAAAAGUUUUGGUGUGAAUCACAAUAUAAGGGGGGACAUGAGCUGCUUGGCGGAGGUCUGCGCUCUCCGAGUGCUUUUCUAGUUUAAUUUGCAGCGAGCUUUGGUUUCUUCCUUUUUUUUUUUUUUCAUCGCUAACUUCCGUUGUGACUUUUUUAUUUUUAUUUUUUGCAUUUUUUUUAUUUGCAGCAGUGGCGGUUCUCGGCCACCGUACCAUGGGACUCAUUUGGAGAAAGGAGCAAUGAGAGACGGCUGGUUUGUUGGUGAGUUUAAAGCCUGUCUACAGUACUAAUGUUGGUACUUUCUCAAUAACUACUGUAAAUUGCUGAAGCCUGGACACCUUCCCACAAAUGUUGAUUAAAGAACCACCAUUGUACGUGUAAAACGGGUUUGCAUAUAUUAAAUAAAGAACAAUCAAUCCUAAGCUGGAUCCGGUUCUUGUUGGUGUAAAAUCUCAUCAUUAGUCAGAAAACUUUCUGCUCCAGACUCAGCCUCAUCAUCACUUUCACCAACAACAUCUGUUAAAACAUCAAGUUAAAAGCAGAGAAACUUUCCUGCUCGUCUCAAUCGUUGGCUCAUAGUUCGCUUUAGUAGCAGUACUUCAUAGUGCUUCAGUAACACCAGCUCUGAUUGGUCAGCAAGUCAAGAACACACGCAAUGAUUGGCUCCCCGCUUCAACUCCAAUGAGUGUGGGAAGGCUAAAAGGGAGGCUAACUAAACAAUAGCGGUUUCAACUUAAAAUAAAAGGUUUCUAAACUCUCUUGUAAAUUCCAGAUUAGAUUAACCAAUGCGGAGCUUUUCUAUGAAGCUUUGAAGACGCAUAUGAACCUCCAGGCUGAGUUUAAUCACUUAAAUAAGGACAGGAAUGCGCUGUAGUCCGCGAACAACACUCGGAGGCAGACAUGUUUUUAGCUGAGCUACGGUGGCCCCGAUGACCAUAUCACACGAAAAGCAAAAGACAAAGACGAAAAUUUUGUCAGAAACGCGAAUAUUUUUCCAUAAAACACAAGAAAAGUAUAGAGUACAAUAGAAUUAAACUGAAUUAAUCCUCCAAAGGGUAAAUUCAUAUUGUCAGAGCAGCAAUAGAUACGACAGGACACACAAGAGGUAUCAUCAAAAUAUAACAAAACAUCCCUUUUAUUCUCUGAAAUAUCCUUACAUUCUGCAUUUUCAUGGCAACUCUGUGUGUGUUGUGAAAUGAUAUUGUGUUCAAUGUAGCAUUUUGAGGUUUUGGAAAAAUAUUUCUACUCCUCUUGAGAUUAUUAUUAUUAUUUUAAGUGUUUGAAGGAAAACUGGAUGGAGAAAACGGACACUUAGGGGUUAAAAUAUGAAGUCUGCUUGUAAUAAUGGCCACAUGCUAAGACUGGUUUGAUUUGUGUAUGGAUAAAGUGCUUUUUCUCAGGUUUGAGACUUAGAGACUCGUGUGAUCAUGUGCUUAAAGAGAGCUGAGGCAUAUGGAAGUCAAUAUUUCAAGUGAUGUUUCAAUUAGAAACGUCCAACACCACAUUAUUACACUCCUGCAGACUCCCCAAAACCACCAAAACCACUCACAUAGCGCACUACACAUACACAAGUACAAACACCCUAAAACCACAUGUUUUUGCUCGCAUAAAGGCUGCGCUGUCUUUAUGUUUUCAGGCUGGUGGUGUUAUCAGAACUAUGCGCACACACAAGCACACACUCCGACACUCGGGGGCAAGAGUGGGAGGAGCAGAUCAAAGAAAGUGUGGUUAAAAAAGAACACCCAGGGACACCCACCUCCACAUAAACAGGGGAUCUCCUUACCAAAAACAAAGAGGCCUGAGCAGCCAACCCACAUCCAGCGGAACAGGGAGGGGUGAAGGAGCUUAGGGAGAGGGGAGGAAGGGGGAGGGAGGGAUCAGAAAACAUGUAAGAUGGGCGGAAAGGUAGAGCAAAAUCAUUCAUUACUGUAAUUACAACCUGAGCCCACUCACUCUUUCAUUCAGAAAAGAGGAGAAAAGAAGCAGAGGAGAGAUUAAACUUCCCACAAAGGUGUUUACCGCACACAAGGAGAAAUCUUUUUUUAAUUCUUUCUUCAAAUGAGUCCUCCAAAGGCAUAAACAGAGAGGAACACACAUGUGACGCUCCACGGGGGAUCCUUAAUCGGUUCAAGUGAUGAGGUUUAUGUCAGUAAAUAACAUGAGCUAUGAAAGUGCUGUGUCAGGGUCUACAUCAGGGUAUUUAUUUUCCCAUAAAACAUCUGAAUCAUGCUCUCACUCACCACCUCACAAGAGUCGUUAUACCUCCAAAGCAGAGCUGUGUUUGAGUGCCAAAUAAAUAUUUACUUCUUUGUUGUUUUUGCCCUCAUGUUUCAAACUGGACACAAAUCAUAAUUGAAUGUCUUUGAUGAAUAGUUUCACAAUUUAGGAAAUGCUUUUAUGUGUUUUUUUUCUACCAAGCAACAACCUCCAGUGUUGAUGUAUGAAGUCCAAAACAGUGCAGUUCUUGAUGUCCGCCAUGAAGGUUAACAUUGACACCCAUGUUAAAAUGCCGAUUGUUAUGGCGGAUAUAAACACGUUUAAAGCCGGGAACAAAAAAUAAAAAAGUUUUGUAAAGAGUUGAACUUGUUAACUUUUUGAAAAAAAAAAAAAAAAGAGGUAAUUAUAACUGUUUGAAUGUAAGUAGUUGUUAAAAAUGUGGAUAAACUUUUGUUAAAGUCACUUGGACUAUUACAGUUCAGUUUAUGUCUUAGGCUACGUUUACACUGCAGGUUAUGAUGCACAAUUCGGAUUUUUAGUUAAGUCCGAUCUUUUUGUGCGGUCAGUCACAUUAGAACAACGAAUGCGGCAUCCAAUGUGAACAGAAUGCGUCCAAAAGUGACCCGCAUGCACACAAAUUGCUUUCCGCGCCUGUUUGUGUUGUCGAACAAUGGUGACAUUCUUUGCAUAUUGAUGAAGUAUAGGUCAGAUUAACGUGACCUGAGCAUCCACACUGCAGUCACAUCGGAUUCAUAUCCGAUUUACAUCCACAUACAAAAGAGGCCUGGGUUGGAUUUGAAAAAAUCAGAAUUGCACUGUUCACACUUAAAUGAAAAAAUCUGAUAUGUGUCACAUAUGGUUAAAAAUCGGAAUUGACCUGCAGUGUGAACAUAGCCCUAGACGAAGCUCAUGGUUAAAAGAUAGAUUAGUUAAAUGUGUUUAAAAAAUAGACCACGCUAUAUAUUUUUUUAUCUUUGUUGUGUCUGUAAAAGCGAAGUUUCAGUGUCACCCUGUAAGGACAAUACUUAAACACACCACCAGAGGGCGCGCAGUCCCUGUGAAGCACAUGAUACCCAUUAAAGAAACACUUUAGCCGAGCUGAACACAUGCGAAACUUCAUUUGUUUUCACAUACAGGUGAGUUAGUAGGCUUAAAUCAAACAUCUACAGUACAUCCCAGUAUGAGGGGUACCAGUGCUGUGAAUGUUUUUCCGUAGUUUUGCUGUUUUGAAUCUAUUUUGAGAUGUUGCUAUUAGGCUAGCACACCUGUUGCUAAUCCCCACAGGGAAGUACUGAUGAGACACAUGGAGGGGUUUGAUUACUUUGCAAACAAAUUUUCAGUAAAAUAAGAUGAUAGGGUUCAACUCAAGGGAAACUGUUGUAACAUUUACGGUUAACACCAUACUUGAGCUCAUUUCUCCUUUGCACACACUAUACAGGUAUGAUUUUUAAUUUUAAUCCAUCAGUUUGGAUGAAGUGUAGUCUAAGGGUUUUACACAAUUACUGAAGUGACUGUAUGGUUGGGGCAUCUUAGGUUUUCUCCCCAUGCAGGAGACUUUCAGCUUGCCUCAUCUUCACCUCAAGGUUGAGUCAGCAUUUCCAAUCUGGUGUCUGCCAUCAUGAGGCUUAACCCCACUUCGUAACCUCAUGGAUGGUGUAACUGGAGACACUGUGUUUCAUGCAGCCCAUGGUUGUUGCUAAGAUAUGAGGAUCAGUAAAUUGCAUUAAAGCAGCUGAUAUGAAUAUUUUUACAAUAGUGAUGAAUUAAAGGAGGUGUUGGUUAGUCUUUCAGAUCUCUACUCUUGAGUGGCAGAUGGGGCAUACCUCCCUCAUGCCUCUAUAUGAGAAUUUUAAUAUUGUAAAAAUUGUUGGGCGACCUUUCACAGUCAUUUUCAGCUUUCAUUAUGCCAGUCGAUGACACCUAUAAAGGAUGUUUGCUGUUCAUAAAACUAAUUUUUGAAUCAUUUUGUUCUUAUCAUACAAAGUUAGUCAUGGCUUGUGGGUGUUACUUUUUCUUGUAAAGUCAUGAAACAACUCAAUGAGGGUGACUUUUCAGGAACAAGGGACCAUUAAGGUGUUUUUAGUCCCAGGGUAUUGGGUCGGUCCGUCAAAGACCACAUCUAGACGUCAGUGUGACGUGCAAAAUAGGUUAGAAAUUUCAACCUCCAAAUUGGACCUUUUUUAGACGUUGCUCUGACGUUUAGAAUUUGGACGUCAUCUGAAGACCAAAUCUAGACGUCGGCAUAACUUGCAAAAUGGAUUCAAGAUUUACACGUCAUUUUUGGACCUCUUUAAGACGUUAAAAUGACAUCCACGUUUGUACCUCAUUGUCGAAAAAUGUGGUAAAUAGAUGUCAUUUUGAUGUCGCAUUGCGCAGUGGGGAAAUGGUACUCCACUGGGAGGCUGAAGUCCUGGGUAAAUAAUGCAAAUAAGAACAAUAACAUCUAUGUCUGACCAAAGGCCUCAAUAAGGUGCAAAGUGGGACAUGUAACAGCCAAUAGGCCAGACGAGGAGAUGGUACAGACCAAACACAAAGCUCAAAGGAGGUUCUUGCCUGUUUUCUAUACAUCAAUAUUAACAAAUACUUGCUCACAAAUUAGCCACAAUAUUCAAUCAACAGUUACAUAAGAAGGUUUACUCUUUACCAGACAGUCUUAAAACCCUUUUGCUGCAGCCAGCACCUGGUUAGAUUAGCCUGGCAGAAAAGGAGAGAACAGUCAGCAGUCCAAAGGUCACAAAAUCUGAAUAUUAGCAGCUAUAAUGCUCUUUAAUUGGCACAUUUCAUCUUAUUUGCCUAAUCCACUCUGUAGAGCAGGUUUCCCCCUGAAUAAACAGUUGAAUAAGUGGUAUCAGUCUCGGCAUCUGAGUCUCAACAGGAAAAUAAACGAGUUCAUUUCCCCUGAAGGAAAAAACAAAGUGACAGAACCGAAAAUUGAUAUCAGAUCAUCAAAUAUUAAACAGAAUACACAUUCUGUGCUCUCAGAAACUCUGAGGAAACUUCUCUUUAGCAGUGACUCUAAAAUCCCUUUCCCUCAUCACUUUACAUAACAGACUCCGGGCUUCAAACUAUGUCUGCCUGUGUUUGUGGAACAUGUUCUGAAGUAGGUUGACUCACUUUCUGACCACAGCUUGUAGCCUCUUGGUUUCUUUACAGCCUCCCCUCAAUGUGUUUACCUUGCUCUCAUCUCCGUGUCCCUCAGGACUCCUUAACCACCACCCUGGGUGUCCCUCUGGGGGGAAACAAUCGGCCGAGCGGAGGAAAGGAAACAAAAGCUCUGAUGUGAUCUGAGGACAUCAACAAUGCCUGGAAAGUUCACCUGCCGUCACAUACUGCAAGGGAAGCCGUUUCCAGUCAUUCAGGAGACCCACAGGUGUUUUUUCCAUGCUCGGAAAUAAGCAUCAAGUAACACUAAGUAUAAAAUAUGAUACUGCGAACGCACAGAAAAGUAGACAAUAAGUCUGCUUAUAUGCAUGUAUAUCAAAUGUUUUAUGUAUAGAGUUUGUGGUUUGUGCUGGGUAUGUGGUCCAAACUGGAGGCCUGUUUGUGGAAGAACUUGAUACAGUGAGGAAAGGAGACAGUAUAACUCAUCCGUAACAUUUCCUCUGUAGUUAUCCUUUGAUUCUCCCACAAAGAGGUCGCAGACAUGGCUUUGUUAGGUUUUGGUUUUUGCCUCCAUUGUGUAUGUUUGAGUGAAGGUCAUGAGUCUCAGUCAGGAGGACAAAGUUUCAGACUCAUCUGGAGAGGGUGGGUAAGUGCUUUUGUUUUCCUAACUGGCGCAGAGACAGAGCACAAGUGACACCUAGUGGACUGGAGCAGUACUGUGUGGGAAGUGAGGCCUUUUUUAAACACUUGAUCUGAUUCUUAAAACACUUGACUUUUGGUUUUAUGUCUCUCACACUUCACCUUCAGUCUUGUUCUGGACACUUUGAAGAAUUACUCGUCUUUGGUAUUGUUGAAAUGAGCUUUUACAUUCAGGCAGUGAGUCGAAAUCCUUUUAGAUUGAGAGGUAAAUGAUUGAAAUUAAGCUAAAAAGGGGGUAAAUAUGAACAAGAGAAGUUGGUGUCACAGUAUGUAUCCACAGAGAUGUAUAUUCUGUGUGGUAUUUAAGGGAAACUAUGAGUGAAAUGUUGAAAAAUUGCUCAAAAAGUCCCAGGACAUAUACCUGCGAGUCUCUUCUUACAAGUUUCUUGUCAAUACUGAUUGUGAGUUAUACACAAAAUGAUGUCUGACUCUCCUGGAAAAUGAAUAGAGUCGUAUGUUAACAAAGAUAUGAGCAACAUCAACAGCUGAAUGUAAAAUUGGUAGAAAAAUCUGUAAUCAAUUUGUGCUUUUGUAAGUGUUACAGAGCUAAUAUGUUUACCCCACUUGCUUUUAUAUAAGAUUUAUUUAAUAAUUUGUAGUUGUGGCUGUAUGGCGUCUCUAUUUUAUCAUGCAGUAUUAUACCUGAUCAGCACUCACAAAACUGUAUCUGUAUGAGAGACAUGCUGCGAUGAGAAGAUUAGCAGCAGGAAGAACAAAAACUGUUUAUUAAAGGCACCAUUGGGGGUUUUAAAGUGGGUGAGAAAUUGAUAGUAUUGCCUCUUUACAACCGCCAAAGGCAAACAUGAUUAUCAGCCAAGAGACUUUGAUUUUUCUGUUGCGAUUUUUAGUAUACAGGACAAGAGAGAAAAUGUACUGCUUGACCACAGGGGGCGCCAAAACCAACACAAACCAAGCUUUACUGUUUCUUGUCGCAACUUAUGGAAUGAAUAGCUGUUUAUGUAAAUGAGUCCAAGCCAGGUUACUAUGGCUGGUACUCUAUAAUACGUGCAUAUAACAGCACUUUGCAUCCAUUAGCAUGUUAGCUAGGCUCAAUAGUGCUGACCCCAAUACGCCAUCUGUAUGACUGAGCACAACCUAUUUUCUUCCUGUUUGGAGAGAAAACGUUUAUUGAGCCAGGUAGCUGCAGUGACGUGUUUUUGAGCCUUACCUCCAGUUUUCACCACUACCAGAACGGCAGCGAUUUCUGCUGUCCACCAACUCCUACCGGAUCCGUUUGUGAGGUGAAUUUCAUGGCGGAUAACGGACAGCAGGAAUCGUGAGAACUCACAAGAACCCGCGUAUUCGCGUGGAAUCGCGCGAUAUCAAGUUGUCUUUAGCCACAUAGGCUAACCAUAUAAGCAGUAGAUUGUGUCCUUCCAGAGGAGGAAAUCGACUUCUAGACUUCUAAAAUCAGCAUCUCCUCAUCCACGGUGUCAUCAGGAUGAAAUGCUGUCUAUAAAACUUUCACUUGUUUCUCCCCGCCUGUUUGCAUGGUGUGAAAUACGAUCAGCCUGAAAUACAGAGUUUUUAACAUUUUUUUAGAGAAGCCGGAUGUUUUAUUUUGUGUCUGUGACCAACUUCCUUUCCAGCAGAGGUUAAUCUGUGCCGGAUUUACCCCGCAUGCUCUGUUGUCUGGAAAAGAUAGAACUCUUGCGAUCAGUUGAGGAGUCUGGCGAUCCGCAGCAUAAUGGAAAGAAGCUGGUGGAAAUUGACACGUUAACUUUAAUGGUUACGAUCAGCAGAUACAGCCUUUUAGUAGACAUUCUGGAUGCGAUGGAAAUUGGGGGCUAGGUGCUCGAAUCCAGUUCAAGUUUAGUGAAGUGAUGACAGCUAGAAGUCACUUUAAGUUUUGAAUGACUUUCCAAGUUUGUUUGUGAGCUUUAGAGGAGCUGGUGUCUCCAAACAGCCUUUCCCCCCUGUUUAGCUUUAAUGUCAGGCCUGCUGCCGGGCUUAACUUUAUUAUUUUCCUUAAUUAUUUUACCAGGAAAGCUUCAACUGAGUUAAAAGGUCUCUUUGACAAGACUGUAUCAGCCAAGACAAACAGCACAUUUGAACAAAAUUCGCACACGAGGACACAUGACAGGUUACAUCGGGUCAACAUAUCCGGGGUCACACAGCGUGAUGGUGUCCUCCAACGCCAUUCAACAAAUCAAGAUGCACUUUUGAGAUGAAGAUUGAUUUCUCCAGAUCUAACUUAAUUGGAUCUUGUCACAUUAACAACAAUAAAACCCUAAUAACCUCAUGCAUUUGGUGAGUUAAACCAAAAUAGUUCACACCUGUCAGUCAGUGAAGUAUGGAAAUGAUUCAUAAUCUCGUUUAAGAACCACAAACAUGUGAAUAUGAGGGUUAUUAGAUCCUAUUAGCCUAAGUUAACCUCUUUUCAAACAUAAAUGGUGCGUUUCAUGAGAGAUGACUGAUUCCUCCGACAUAAAAGAGCUCGUAUCGAGAUGAUAAGUCAUGAGUUAUACGACCUGUGGCCUUCCAGGGUGAAUUAAAGCUUCUUCACAUGAAUUCAAUGUUACAGAGUCAUGCUCUGACAACAGCCUCAUAACCAGAGUGAAGUCAGAUGCUUCCCUCCAAGAACUGGAUGCUGUCUUUCCUGAGCUUCAGUCCAACAUUACAUCAUGCAUACUUGAAGACUUUGCUGUGAUUUCAAAGCACAGGGUGGGCCCUACGUUUUUAUGAGCCUUUUUAUUUAUUUAUGUGUUUCUGUCCAUUUUUCCUCCUCCCCUCUCUCUUCCCAGUUUUUUUUUCUUGUUAUUAUAGAGAGUGUAAGUAGCGGUCAGGACAUCUGCAUCCAUCUGUAUGUUUCUCUUCUGCUGACCUGAAACAACUCCCCUUCCUCCAUAGAUGUCGAGCAGACACGCCUUUCUAAACAGAGUCCUCAAUGACUGAUUGUGUGGACUCCUGUGAAGCUCCUCUCCUUCCACCCAUCAAACUGCUGCUCCCGCUACGGCCCAUUUAGUAAUAUACAUAGACACACGUGUGCGCGGCCUUUGUAUACAGAAAGCGGUGUGUGUCAUGUAAAUAUAGUUACACACAGUCAUUCUAACACAUCCAUGCACGAGUACAGAGCAGCACAGCGGCCUUGUUUCUGCUGAUGCUCCAUCUGCAGCCCAGAUGUGCCGCAGCGCUCUGAGGUGCCGCUGAGCGCAGGAUGUUUUGCAUUCCCUCUGUGGAACAUGUGAGGCGUUCCUGUGGGCCGUCCGUCUGGCUGCAUUAGUCUGUGUGUCAUGGGGAUGUGUUCGCCUCAGCCCCUCGUCGGCUGGCUCCAGGGGGUUUGGGUACGACUGUUAGCGGGCUAAUUCGGCACAGAUGUCGGGUGCUGAAUCAGGUGGUGAGAGGAAACUCCGGUACCGGCGGGAGGGAGACACUGGCUGCCCUGUGUGGUGGUCCAGCCCCUUCAUGAGCAAAUCCUCCCAGCUUGUUCCUGUUUCAGUCAAAGCUGAGGUGGAGAAUAGUAAUGUUUUUAUGGUGUACUGUAUCUGCUCUCUAAUGACAAGACUGUUUCCUUUUUUAUGACUCCAAAAACUCCUAAAACUGAUUUUAUAUUUUUGUUUUUGAGUUUCAGAGGAAUAAAACUUUACAGGCCCGACCUGCACGACUUCGGAGGAAGGGAGUAAACGCAAGAUAAAACUUUCUGAUGUUGUUUACUUAACCUUACUCUGAAAGGGUGUUUACAUCACGGAGUAUUUUUUUAUGUUCUUGUAAUUUUGCAAAAGAAAGUAAUACAACCACUAUGGUUAAUCUUUAACUUUGAUAAUCGAUAAGAAAAGUUGGAUUAAGAUAAAUACCAUUAUCUCCAUUGUUUUGCAAGUAUUAAAACCUUGUGCCCACAUUAUUUGUCAUAGUGGGUCAUGUAUCUUUUUACCAUUGCAUCGCAUUUACCUCGAGCUAAUUUUAAAGCCAACCAGUCAGAAUCAAAAAGAGGCGGGCAUCUGUUAGCAAGUUUGUCAACGACAAUCGCAGAUGUCUGGGAGGUACAUUUCCCAGUGCUAGAGCUAAUACUAAUGCUGUGACACCAUAGACCGUGUAUAUAGAAUGGACGCCGUCUGCCUCCUCGCUGAGUGAAGCCACCCCAAGAACAGCACCCUCUGGUGACAGGCUGCAGUAUAGGUCAUAAAUCCCGCCUCCGCCAGCAAAGCUUAUGGAGCUGUGGACAUGUAGUUAUUGCAAGACUGGUUUGUGCUGGCUUGCUGUUUGAGACAAGCGUCAUCACAGCGACUCCCGCCCAAUGUGUCCAAUGCUAUUGCACAAUGUUGGUUUCAGGAAGUGGAGAGAAAAAAAAGGAAUACAGAGAGCUUUUUGGCUUCAAAUCCGUAGACUGGUGGAUGGCGGGAACCAAGUUGUCCAUAGUAUAUACAGUCUCUGUUUGACACACAGUUUGUCUCUUUGUGAAAUGCCAUCGAAUGAAAGCUAUUAUAAAGCACAAAGAGCACUGUAAAACAGACGUAAUGUUAACUACUUGGAAGGUAGCAGAAGUUCGGCAAUUUUUGAGUCUGCCAGCGCAGACUCAUAAAAACUCGCCAUGGACAGUAUAUCAAUAUCAUCUUUAAGCUUGAUCAUUUUUAAUCCUUAUAAAUACUGCUAAAGCAUGCCUUUACUGUAGUUAUUAAAACUGAUGUCCAACAUUUUAAACCUUCAACACUUAAUAUAUUCUCAUUGAAUUUGAUCAAAAUGAGAAAGAAACACCUCAAGUUUGAAAUUCACCUCUUCAAAUCUAAACCAGGCCACUAAAAUGUGGAUUACAACCAGGAAAGAUUGCGUCAUCCCUGCUGUCCCCCCUCUGUUUUUACUAGUUACAUUUCAUGUAGUAAAUGUGCAGCUUAUUGUGCAGUUAAAGCCGCACAGGAACUCUUUAAUUUGCACAAACCUUGGAGAGGAAGUAUCAGGGACAUGACACAGAUAUCAUUAGCAGCAGUUUGCUUCACAAUGAAGACGUCACAAGUGGAAACUUAACAUUAAAUAAAGGAAUAUACUUAAAAUCCCAUGUUUUCUUUAAAUUUCGAUUUGAUGAAUCAGCUCCUGUCUCUUAUAGACGACAAACCAGUGUCGUGUUGCUUUGUCGGUACUGAAGUUGGUAUCUGAACAGCUCCUUUCGGGCUCAUUUCUUUCGGCAGUACAUGCCGUUGGCCGGCGCCUCCACAGCUGGCAGACGACAUAUUCCAUCCCAAGCAAUCGUGGCCCUCACCACCUGCUAUAGGGUCAUGGUUAUAGUGUGAGCCUGUUUAAGAUCUGCACUGUGUGUGUGUGUGGGGAUGUGUGUAUGUGCGUGUGAUGGGUGUCUGCUUAUAGAGGAAGAAGAUGCUUUAAUACACACACAUGUAACUGACACAGCAUGAGGCUCCAUUGUGUCCUAAUCAGUAUACCAAGAGAACUGAAUAACCAAUAUGUCCUCCGUCCUCCGCUCCAGUUGAGCGAGUAUGUCCAGAUAGAGACGGAGAGGGACGGAGAGCUGGAAUUCCUCUUUGAUCACGGCGUCCGUUGGUCAAUGGGACGUGGCGUUUGCCGAGGGGGUGCGCAGGCUGAGGAGGCUGCAGGGGCCGGAGCAACAGGGAGAGAGUGCUCAAUUGUCUUGUCCCUUUCUUUUUAUAUUUCUCAGGGACAUACACCCCCACCAAGAAGCCGAUACCGAGGUCAGGACCUUCUGCCCCCCCCUUCGUUUUUGCUCAUUCUUGACGGACGCUCUCUGUCAUGUAUAACUGCUGAACAAACCCCCUUUCCUCCCUCAACUGUCUCCCACAAGUACUUUCUUGCCACCCUGCUCCUUUAUGCAGGAGGUGGAGGUCGAGGCGUUGGCUUGGGGGUGGGGACGAGUUGGUCUGGAAACUUUUUUUUUUUUUUACAUAAAAGAGACAAAAACUGACAAAAUCUGGACAAAGACAAAUUGACUGCGAGUGUGUUUUAGUUCUGGAAGCAUCUGGUAGUUUUAUAAAAAGCAUUUCUAAGAAGCAGAAGGAGGCUGCUGUUUGUUUCAAGAGUCUGUUGUUAUUUACUCCAUUGUUACGUGAGCGGGCGAGUGUGCAGCCAAGCCAUCAAAGAACAGAACAUUUGGUCGUUAACAGAACUGUAGUGUUUGACAGAUGUAUAACAUAUUCUCUUUCUUGGAAAUGCUUUAUGGAACAACAAGUCUGCACCCAAAGCAUCUGCAGCGUUGAGAAGAAGCCUUUACAGGGCCUUUAGCUUUUAUUAUUCCCGUUUUCUGGCAUAAACUCAAAACCUGUUCGUGUCCAGCAUGUGGAAAACAAGAAGCAGAGUGUCACCAAUCCACAACUGAAAGAAGAAAGGACAGAUGAUUGGAUUAUUCUGCUUUUUUCAAGAGCUAACAAUAGUAACAUUGAUUGUUCAGGCAGAUUAAAGUGGUCGGUGUGCAGCGCAGAAGAGUAAGACUGAAGUUUUAGAGUCUGUGUUUGAAGCAGUGACACAUUUAGAUUAAUAGAUAGUUUGACAUGGAUGUGGUGGGAACACAGAUGUUCAACAUCUGAAAAGAUUUAUCUAAUGAAAUCUCUCAAUAAACAAAUUAAACGCUCUGCCCGUGUGCAGCUGUGAUACUGACGAUCCAUAUUAGAUUAAUAUAAUCUAAUAAAUCCAGGACGCAUCAAAAGAGAGCCAAACAAAUCUGACACUUCUGGGUCAAAACAAGUUAGUCUUGUUUAAGUAAAAGUCGGUCGCAUAUUCGUCAUUACUUUUAGUCAAAGUGUUUCCCGUCUAUGUCCAACAUCUACUUCAAACACUUCAGCUCGUCUCGUCUCUGUGGUUGAUGUUCGCUAAAUGAACGCCGUCAUUCAUUCUCAUCUUUGAAGCCAAAACGUCGUCCCUGCUGGUGUUGACAAACAAAGACCUGUGUGACUGUGACUUGGCUGGUCGUGUGGCCGGACAGACUUGAUAUCCCUGACUAUAACCCAGAGCCGGCACAAGCCUCAACAGGGCCCUAAGCAACAUUUGAUUAUGGGGCCCUCUAUUUCUGCCAGUAAUAUUGAUCGUUGAUCACCUUCACCUUCACAAAUCUCUUUAACAUUCCAUGACAUGCAAAUGUACCUUUAUCUUGGCAUGUUUUCUCUUCUUCCUCUUUCUUCCUCUUUCUUUUCUCUGUUCCUGAAGGAUACGUCCUUUUUUGCGACAUUGUUUCGCCCCAAAACUACCUGCUCUUUGGAUGAUCAGUGCACAUUACACAGCAGGAGGCACAUAACGGUAGCAGAGCUUUAACAUAUCGGCAGUAAUAAUCAUAGGCCGACAUCAGCAGCAGCACUAAAAAAUUUUUAUUUUAUUUUAUUUCCUUUUUACAAUAAUAUAUAUUUGAUCAUACAGAAAGCAUCACUCAUACAUGCAAAAUAUAAAAAAUAUUAAUUAUUAUUUUUUUUUUUUAUUGCUCUUGGGGGCCCCCUACUGGCUGCGGGACCCUUAGCAGGCGAGUAGUUCUCUUAUGCCUUGGGCCGGCUCUGCUAUAACCAAACUCCACAGUAAAAACAUACCCAUAAAAUGUCAAAGAUCCCUCUCCUCAGGUCUAGAAAAUCCACAGCAGAACUUAAUCUUGUGUUGAUUUGAGGCAGAGACAAACUCUUGUGCUGGUGUUUUAUAUAUUUUCUCCCUGUUUGUCCUCGACUGUGUUAAUCUGGAGAAUCUGCAGAAACUGUUCAUCAUCAUGGUGUUGAACCCGCUCUUUUGAAAAUCAAGGACACAAAAACUUUUAUAUCAGAAACCAUGUGUCAAAAAAAAAGUUUUUAAGUGUAUUUUAGUUUUAUAGAGAAGCCGAUCUGUGAUCUAUUAACAUUACAGAGACAGAGCUUAUGACCUAUACUGUAGGUGGCCACCAGGGGAGCUCUAAAUCCUUUGGCUUCAACCCAGACUGAUAAUUAUAGUGUUCUAUGUAUACACAGUGAUUUUAAGAGGUUUGAUAGAUGAGUGGGGUUUUUUACUCAAGAUGAUUUUAUUUAAAGCUAAUUUAAUUUUGCUUCAUGUUUAAUCUGAUUAAAAUAAUUUGAUAACCUUUGCAAAGUAAUCUGAUUAUCUCAUGUUUUUAACUGGUUAUGAAACAGACUGAAAUCAUCACUGAUUUAACUUUAUGACCUACAAAAGCAAAACAGACCAAAUCUGUCAUAAACAGGGAAAACAGCCACGAAUUUAUGAGCAAAAUAUUAUAUUUAGCAAACUACUGUGGUGUCGGUCAAGACAGUGAGAGGUGGAUGUAGCAGUGUGGAUGUAAUGUAGAGGUUCACCAUCCAAUGUGUCUGAGUGAGAAAUAGUUCAGGGACGAUGUUUAUUAUUGGUAAUUUGCAACGACUUUGAGGAUUUUAUCAUCUGUUUACCCAAAUUAAAAGAUCCUGCAGAAAUCUCUGUCGAAAAAAAAGGCAAAUCUGAUAAUUGAUUCUGGGUGGCUGUGAUCUUUAAACCCUCAGCUGGCACAGAGUCAUAACAGACAUGACUCUGCAGUGGAAAUCACAGCACGGACUCAAAGUCACAUCCCAAAACCUCCAGUCUGUGAACAGAGUCUGUUGCUGCAACAUCAACAAAUGCAAGUUAAUCAAAUAAACGUGCAAAUGAAUGUCAAAUUAAUUGUCUUUGCACUAUUUUCAAUGAAAUAGGAACUGAAAUGAUGCAAAUCAUCAGACUCUGCUUGCAUCAGCCUUUCUUAUAGCAUCUCAACUCUUUGAAUUAAGUUUUAAUAAACAAGUUUAAUUAUUUGACCCUCUUUCUGUACUUGAAUGUGGAAUAAUGCUUUCAGUCGAUCACCAAAAUUUGUCAUAAAGUGACCCUGUGAAUUGGAAAAUGAACAAGUUGAUCAGCUGUAUCUUGAAUUUAUCAAAGAAAACGAGUAAAAGUGAGAAGCUGCUGCUCUGGCGGCCUCUAGUGGAUGAAAAAUAGAAAAUAAAUAGAUAUUUAUAUAUGUUUAUAAUAUCUUUGUUGUCCAGCAGAGGGCAGCAUGUCUCUGAAAUUACAUAUUAACUCAAAGGUAGCAGCCAACUGUGGGCUUUUUCUGCCCCUCUGUGCAGUUUCUUCAUGUCAUACUUUGCCUUUUAUUUUUACUUUUCCCUCACUCUGUCUUUUUACUCUUAUUUUCUAUCUUCUCUUUUUCAGACGUUUGUUUUCUCUCUUUUUUCCACUGCCAGUUUAGUGGAGUUUCACACACACAGGCAGAAACGCUCAACAUAUGGUUUGCCUCUUGAGUUGUGUAGCUGUUUUCCCUCUUCUCUCCAUACUGAGUCUGCAAAACCCAUCACUCCAUCUGCCCCCCUCAAACCUCCUCCACCCCCUGUUUUUCCUCUCUUCCUGCUCCCUCUCCUCUCCUCUCCUCCUCCUCAUGCAUCCAUCUCCCCUUCCUACCUUUCCUCCCACUUGCCUUUAUUUCUUUCUUCGUUCUUCACCUGCACAUCCAUCUUUUUCUUCCUCUGUGUGACCGGAUGAGUCACUUCGGAUGACAUCAGCUCCACACUCACUGAGAUGAAAGAAACUGAAGGAAAGUCGAAGGUGGGAGAAGAUCAGUGUGUGGGCUUCUUCUUCUCACCACACCGGGUUCAUAUUUCUCACAUGUUUUUCUGACAAGGAUGCAAGACUGUGUGGAUUCUGGUCUUGUUUUUAACCCUCCUAACCCAGGAUCAUCUCAAAACUCCUCUCUAAUCCUCACAUUGAUUGGUUGUUUUUGUCAGGAGUUAAUCUCUGUCUCGUUUUUAGCGGGCCUGUUCAAUGUUUUAUGGUCAGAACUCUUGUUUCUAUAAUGACUUUUAAACUCAGUAAGGUGUUGAAUUCUGGUCAGAUUUAAAAAGACUAUUUUUAUCCUCUUUGAAGAUGAACUAGGACAACUAUUUGUCAGUUUUUAACAUUAAAAAGUCCAAAAAUAAUCUAAAAGGGGGUAAAUAUGAGUUUACCUGAGGGCAGAUAUUAUAGUUUAUUUGUUUGUUUAUUUAUUUGGAUCCCCAUUAGCUCCUCUUCCUAGGGUCCACAAGAAAACAUUCAACAUUCAUAUACAUUAAAAUGAUAAAAGUCCAAACAGGAGAAUUAUACAAGAUGUUAAAAUCAUAACUAAAACAAGAAUUAUGAUGACAUUACAUUUCCAAUUUAAAAAACACUAAACAGUUUGUCACUGUGAGAUUUCCCUACUCUUUCCUGUCCCUGCAGUUUGUACAGGUAUGCGUGAGUGUUGUGGGUUUUGGUUUACAAGCCUGUCGUGGCUCUCUGUAUCCUGUUCCUGGUCCCUUGAAGUCCCAUGUGGACCUCUGGAGGGUGUCUUUAACAACAAAGUCAGUUUGGUAUGUGUUUACUCAGAGCCGCCCUCAGUGUCUCCUCUCCUCCUCUGAAGCAGAAGCUGGCUGACAGAUAACAAACACCUCUCGGCGCUGACUGACCCACAGAUUUACGGCUUCAUAAAAGUCUGGUUUGGGGAUUUGGUUAACAGUUUCCCUUCAGGAGGUCAUUUGGAGCUGUUUUCUCCUCUGUCAGCACGUCAAACUGAGAGUGAAGAUAACCAGUCUGAAGCGAAGACAAUGCUUCCUGAAUGAGAGGAUGUUUUCUUGCCAAAUCAAAACCAUGUCAGUGUUAGCGUGUGGUGUAUUUAAAGCCUCAUGAGGAAACAUGCACGUGUCAGUGCUAAUUCCUCUGUGGGGCAUUCACACUCUUUUGUCUCUCUUUCUUUCUGGGGGUAAAGAGAGAAAUCACACUUGUAACAGGUGGAGCAUUCAGCAGCAAACAGGGUGUUAAUAGAGUGUAUGAAGGUCUGUGUGGGCCUCACACCUUCUCCCUCUCAACAUAAACUCUAGAAACAACAGAUGGAUUCACACAUUUACGCAGACAUCCUCAGAGGCGGGUGAAGUUUGAGGAGCGUUUGUCAGCCUCUCAUGAUCCGGUAGUUAAAGGGAUAUUCCGGCGUAAAAUUAAUUUAGGGUCAAACACAUAGUAACACCGAGUUAGACACCCCCUUGAGAGAUAAGUGUUGCUGACCGCUUGCUUCUCUAAUUAUACUAACUUAGGUAGCAACCACACAUGAGCAAUACACAGCGGUCUACAUCUCCAUGCGCAAACCUCAACCAAAACGCCACUCUAUAGCCACAAAUAAUGCUCAGAACAGCACCUAACUUCAUCAACAGUACAUAUAGGGUCCCAGUCAUAGUACUAGCCACCAAACAUCUUUUUAACUUCCCCUGAUUUCUUUAGCAAAGAGACUAAAAACAACUCACCCACUCUCCUCCAGCAGCCACUUGUUUGUCGGGGAGCCCUGACGAGUCGAUCACAGAGUGCAGCGGAUCAUUUCCAUGAAGAACUAAUCACCAGAGUAGUUCUUCUGCCUUAGCAUCUCAAUCAUUUCUUUCCAUAAAGUAAUGAUCAUAAAUGUUCUUCCUUGAGCUGUGAAACUCCUCUGCACUUGGUGAUCGACUCGUCAGGGCUCCCCCACAAACAAGUGGCUGCUGGAAGAGAGUAGGUGAGUUAUGUUUGGUCUCUUUGCUAAAGAAAUUAGUCAAAGUUAAAAAGAUGAUUGGUGGCUAGUACUAUGGCUAGGACCCUAUAUGUACUGUUGAUGAAGUUAGGUGCUGUUCUGAGCAUUAUUUGUGGCUAUAGAGUGGUGUUUUGGUUGAGGUUUGUUUAUGGCUCCUCAGACCGCUGUGUAUUGCCAUCAUGCGGUCGUUACUGAAGUUGGUAUAACUAGAGAAGCAAGCGGUCGGCAACAUUCAUCUCUCGAGGGCGUGUCUAACUCUGUGUUACGGUGUGUUUGACCAUAACAUAAAUUUAUGCCGGAAUAUCCCUUUAAAACACAGUUGAAGGAAUCAAAUUUACAUUUUAUGACAUAAAACAAUUACAUUAUUUUACAUUGUGUCCUCAGACUUCUCUCAACAGUGGCACCAAACCCAGAAUCCAAACAGACAAUAUCGAAAACCACUUAUUUUUUAAUGUCCAGACCUUGUGAAUCAUGGCUACACACUGAGAUUAGAGUUUACCAGUCCCGUCAGACUACAAACUGUUUUUGUAAUAUGGUUUUGUCUCCAUCCUGCAUCUCUAAAAGUCCUGUUUGUCCUCCGAUCAGUCCUUUAACCAGCAGAGCUUAAAUUUUGUCAACUUUGCUGCUUUCCUUUCCAACGACGGCACCCGAACGAACCUCACAUCCUGUGUGCUUGUGUCGAACGAGGCGCUUAUCAAAACUGGAUCUUAUCGUCUCUUCAUGCACAACACUUUCACUCUGCUGCGGCGGCCGCUGACAGAGGGCCAGCAGCAUCAGGGCAGGACCACAGCCAGAAUUUCCCCUGAGGAGCGAAGCCUUCGGGCUGUGGAGUCACAGUUUACAAUGCUGGGUUUUCUCCAUUUCAUGCUCUCAUACUCUCCAUUGUCCCCGAGCUUUCACAGCUCCCCAUCCGAACAGCUUCAAAAGAUCAUGUGACAUUGCCUCAUCCCUCUGUUUGCAAGAACGCCCUGCUUUUCGACCUCCACCCUGUUUUACUGUGCUUUUUCCAAUCUUUUAAACAUAUUAUGCACGCUAUCUGCUUUUGCACUUUUCCUCUAUCUCAGACUCUAUCAUUCUUCAGCUCUCUUGGUUUCCUCGUGUAAACAGGGAGUGUAUUGUGCUUCUGCAGAUCUUGUCUGUCCUCGGUGUUGACUGUUUUGUCUGUGAGUAAUGAUGGAUUCAGAUCCACACGUCUGCAAGGUGUAAAAGCAGACAUUUCCACUCGAUCUCUCGGAGUCUGUUUUGACAGCGUGUAAACAACAGAGAUGCUUGGUUUUGUCGUGCUAUGACUGCUUGUCCUCCUCGAAGUCAGGGUGUUAAAUUUAGAGAUGAAUGAACAAAGUUUUUGUUUUAGUUUCACAAAAGUUUUGUUAUUUUUAGGUGUGGAUGUGGUUUAAUGCCAAAAUAUAUCCCGAUCAUGAUGCUCAAAAGCUCUUCUCUCUAUGAAUCAGAGGUUCUACCUGCAAAGAUCAUUAUUAUCAUGUUCAGGCGACUUUACAUUAAAGGGAUAGUUUCACAUUUUUGAGGUAGGGGUCGUGGUUCAUGCUGUUGCCUCACACGGAGACGGUUCCUGGGUCACUCCCAGGCACCUCUUUGUAAGGAUUUCGCUCUUUCUCAACAUGUAUUUAAGGUUUUCCUGCAGGUACUUGUUGUGGUUUUUCAUGAUUCAAAAUAACCCUCAGCCACAAGACAAAACAUUACAUGAGUGAGAGAGCCUUCUGACCCACGUGAGACUUAAUUUAGCAUCACAUAGGUGUGUCUCGUCGACUGAAAUGCACAGGGUUACAUCAUUUUCUUAUAUUCAGAAAGUUUGCAGCUCUCCUUUGUACACGUCAUCUCAGAGUUCCUCCAAUAUCAGAGCUCAUUCGACAGGCAAGUUUCAUUACUUUUGGAUAACCCUGAAAGAAAACAGUUCACAGAGGUGAUUCUAGAGUGUGCUGGGGCCCCAAGCAAAAAUUCUGAAACCAGCUAAAGAGGUCAAAAACAGAAACUUUUUAAAAACAAUCAUCAGUAUUACUACAUAACUUGAAAAUUGUGCUCUAAAAUAACUACAGCUCUGGUAUGUUUUUACCACAAUAGCAGCACCUCACCUUUGAUCUAAGAUUUGAUGUCCGAGACUUUUGCUGUAUUUGAGUUACCUCGGAAGUCAGAUGUCGGAGCUGAAAAUGACGUCACACCUGAGUUCCCAGGGUUUCAGUUACCAAGUCGGAAAAAAGCGAAAUCGGAGGCCUGAAACAAGAUGGCUACAUCUACGAAAGUUAUUUUAGUGCUUGCCUUAUAUUCAGACAAGAAUUUAAAUGCACCAAAAUCAGUUUUACUUCUCAUCACUGACAUGGACCACACUCUAUUUAUUAAAAAAAUUCAUCUAGGUCAUUUUAUAUGGGAAAUAUGUCAAUUCUGUGUUUAUUUUUACCGUUAAAAUUAACAGUGAGAUGUUGCACAAAAACUGUCAUAAAAAGGGUAAUACAUCAAAUUUUUUAAUUAUUUUUUAAUGGUCAGGACUGAAGAUGUUUAAGAGAUAUGAGUCGAAAAAAAGUUAACAAAAGAGAAUUUUAUGAACUCUUACCUGCAUGUCAGUUUUGGAGACAAAGUAGGCUGGAUGGAGCUUAAAAUUAACAGAAACCAAGGGUUAAUGGGGUUGCAAUAUUUAGGACAUUUUUGUAGAGUAAGGCUCGUCAGCCCUUGUGGGUAAUAUUCUGAUAUUACUUUACAUCUCUGCACACUGACGUUGUUGCUGUCUGUUCUGACUUCCUAACUCUAGAUUUGCUUCGACAUCAUGUCGACAGAAAACACUCAGACCAGUAAAUUCUGCACAGUCAAGCUGAAUCAAAUGAAUCAAAACAACUCAAAGACACUCUGAAACUGAGUUGUUAUUCUCUGUGGCAGACCUGGCUCUGCAGUCCUACAGUACGCUGAAGCUAAAUGUCUGCCUUAGCAUAAAGAAAACAUGAGUGGAGUCAAUCUUGAAUAUAUUUCCCAAAGAGUGUGAGAGUUCUUGUUGGUACUCUGCCCUCUAACAGCUGUUUUUCAUCGUUUUAGGAUACCCUGAUGGGAAAUAAGAUCCCCCCUCGACUGUAAGGUUAAAAGGUUCACCCUCUUCUUCCUCUAAAAGUUCUUCAUAGUGGCGCUGAACUCUUCCCUCUGGUGCGCAUGUAUGUUUGCUUAAAGGGCAGCGAAACUCCCAGUUGCAUAAUCCAAUAAGAGGAUCGAGCUUUUAAAGUAUCAGAUAUGACACUGGGGGUUUGUCAGAGUGAAAUCUCUUCAGUCCACAGCUGUGAAUUUGUGACCACAGGACGUGAACGUGGCUGCUUUCACAGCUCCAGUCAGAGUGGAAAACUACACUCAACUAUUGUGGUCAUGUGGUUUGGGCCUUGGCUGUGAUUCGUGAGCACUCAGGCCAGAUCACCUAUAGUAAAUCACUGCAGAGCUUGACCAAGAGUUUCUGCGUUGUAAUUAAGAUUUUUACAGGCGUUUAUUCUGCGCACAGACAGAUAUUCUGACGUGCAAACACGCACAUUUAUCAUGUACACACUGCAUGGCUACUAAUGUCUUUUGGAGCCGCAUAUGCGCACACAAACAGCUCCACGUGCAGCUUUCUGAAAUGAGUGUUAUUGUGAAGUGGCUAAACAGUCAUCACUCUCUGGACCUGUGAUUUAAGGAUCACUGUGUGACCACGCUAGCACUGUCAUCCUCCACACACUCACUGUCACCAUUUACACUGCUCUACGUCUCACUCAGCACUGAUUUUACCAUAACUUAAGUAUUGGUAAUGCUGACAGCUAAAUGAGCCAGUCAAACCCCUGCUGUAAUAUUUCAUACACAUGCCCAGUAUCAAGUCAGACAGUGUUCGAAACUGACAUAAAUCACCAGAGUGAAAUUUUUACUGCUUUGAGCCUCCCAAAGGCUUUUACUGCUUUGAGCCUCUUUUUUUUUAACGUUGUUUGUUUUUACCUCUUUGUAAAGCACUUUGUGUUCCCAAAGGGAUAUUCCAGCAUGAAAUUAUUUAAGGUCAAACGCAUCAUAACACCGAGUUAGACACCCCCUCGAGAGAUGAAUGUUGCAGACCACUUGCUUCUCUAGUUAAACCAACUUUAGUAACGAACGCACGAUAGCAAUACACAGCAGUCUGAGGAGCCAUAAACAAACCUCAACCAAAACAUCACUCUAUAGCCACACAUAAUGCUCAGAACAGCACCUAACUUCAUCAACAGUACAUAUAGGGUCCCAGCCACAGCACAAGCCACCAAACAUCUUUUUAACUUUGACUAAUUUCUUCAGCAAAGAGACUAAACACAACUCACCUACUCUCCUCCUGCAGCCGCUUGUUUGUAGUGAGACCUCUGGCCAGUGCAUUACGGACUACAGCGGGGUGACGCAGCUCAAGAAAGAACAUUGAUGAUCAUUUCUUUAUCAUUUCCUUGAAGAAAUAAUCACCAUAUUAAUCAUUUUGCACUGCAGACACGGUAGUUCUUCUUUAAUUUUUUUAUACAUAUCCAUGUAACAUUUGGCUAAUUCUACCCAGAUAUUGAGAGAAAAAUCCAUACUAAUUUAUGUUUUUGUGGAAGAAAUACCCAGGAUUUAAUGUAACAACAAUGCACUAAUGUGAAAGGAGUAAUCUGUAGACAUGGACCUGUAGAUACUUUAGCUACACAAUAAAUUUCAGCUCUUUAUUUUGGUUUCACUUUGCACAACACCUUCCGAAAGCAGAUGAUUUUAGUUUAAAAAAACAAUAAAAUAAGGUUAAAGGUCCAGAUAUUUCCUCCAGUCUUGAGAAAGUGAAAAUGCUGAAAUCUGCAGUUCCUCUAGUGUCCACUUGAGGCUGACUCCAAAAGUCCAUGAAUCCACAUACACACCCAUACUAAAAGAAACAUCUUCACGUCAAAAAAUAACAUGAUUACAUUGCCAGGGUUAAAUCACACUUUAGGGGUAGGAGAGCGUUUUUAAACUGUAAAUCUGAUUUAUUGUGAAAAUACUAAAGCUAUUAGUUUUGCAUAAUAAGGGGCACUGAAUAUGAUGGUAUACUAUAAGUAAAUAGAUAUUGAGGCGCACUUGUUUGACUGAAAAGACCAAUAGUUGGCAAAUUGGUCACAGUGGGUUAGUAUAGGCCUCAAAAUUAUCAAUGCAACUUAUAUAAUAAGUUUUACGGUAAUAUGUCAAACAAAUAUUUACAUAAUACAAACACUGUAGCUCCGUAAUUUAAUAAAAUUAUCUUUGCAACUUAAAUUGAUCAUCAUCUUUUCAUCUUCUUGAGCAAUUACUUUACCCUUCCUGUUUUUGAUCAUUCUGCAGCCAAGUCCUUAAAAUCCCAUAUGAGCUUUUUAUGAAAAAUAUAAAAACAAGCAUUUUUCUUUAUGCAAAUUCUAUCCUGACAAGUAUAUUUAAGACUAACAAGUAGAUUUAUUCAGAGUUUAUGUAUACCAACCAGGCAUGGGUAAGUAACCCAACACUCAGUCAAAACAACACCUCAGUUUGUCUGUUUUACGGGGUAGAGUCGGCCCAGUCACUGCAUUUGUUCAAGUGCUUUUUAAGUGUGCUAUUCAAAUGUAAAACUUUGAAUGACUUUUUACUAUUUCCUUUCACAGCAGAGGCCAAAAGAAGAGAUGACCCCUACCUGCAGCACCAGCUUUUGUUAACUCCGAGCUAGACUGCAGCUCAUCAAGCAGACCACACACGGAGAGAGGAGGAAGCGCCGCGCCGAAAGAGAGAGAGAGAGAGAGAGAGUGGAGAGGAGUUCACGCUCGUGUUAUCACAGAGGGUGAAAAAUGAAAUGCUGAGGAGUUUUUUCCACCGUAAAAACUCAUAAUGUAUGUCCACCACCUCCCCAGCAGUGUCACACAUGUUACCCUUUGCAUCUCUCAUCCUCGGCGCUGCGCUCUCUCUCACAAUGUUGCUGUUAAAGUGAGUUUGGUUUAUUUUCUUUUUAUAUGGAGUUUCCAUCAUGCUCCACUCCCUCUGUGGUUCCAGAGCGGCUGGCCAAAUGGCAAUAAAAUGCUCAAAGGACAUCAGAGAGGGAAAAGGAGACUUAUUUGUUAGCCUAUAACAAAAUCCCCAGUAGUUGCAUGAGGCAGUGAACUUGUGAGAAUAAAGGGGGUAAAGCUCUGCCUCAGUGCCGAUGUAAGAGCUAAGAUAAGUGGUCCAGCAGCGAGUCGACCAACCUUAGACAACUGAAUGAAAUCAGUCAACUGUAAUUUUGUUGUUAGAGAGCUAAUUUUACAUUUAAGCUCAAUUAAAACUCAAUUAAAGUUCUAAAAACAUGCGAAAAAACAGCAGAGAUGGAGUAAGCUCGUUAAAGAACAAGGACACAGCUAAAGUAGAAGCAGCUUUGGUUACACAGAAAUGCAUGCAAAGUCAUCAUGAAACAUGUGCUCCCACUGCUGUGUUUGCUAAAACCAUGGCUUUGAAGUGUGAGUGGAAUGAUUGGGGCUAAGUUAAGAUUUUCCUGCCGUGGGCUCCAUUUGGAUGUGACGUGAAUCAAAACUGAAAGCAGAUUUUUGUCUGUUUCUUUCGUGGCACAUGGAACAUUUUUAUAUAAACAGUUGUGACAAAUCUGUGUCAGUGUGCUCCUCGUGUCUCUGCCUCUCUCCUGUCAAUGAAGAAGACUUUUUUCUAUGUAUAUAUGACACCAUCUAUGGUUAUUGCAUAUCUGUUAUAUUUCCAUCUUAAAUUCCCAUUUUUUGUGGGAGUCCCUGAGCUCCAUCAUGUUGUAGCUUCCUGUUUUCCUGCUGCUUCAACUACCAGCAUCAAUCUCACCUGUCCAUCUCUCUUUCUGCAUCUCCCUCUAGAUCCUUUGCAGUCGAGGCAGAUGACUGUCCUGACAUGAGUCUGGUUCUGCUUGAGGUUUCUGCCUGUUUAAGGAAGUUUUUCCUCUCAGCACUCGUGCUACACUCAUAAAGAUGAAGAUGCAAUUGGAGUGAGUCUGAUCUGACAAGGUGGGGCUCCAUCUUACACCAUUUUACAUCAAGUCUUUUUCGUUUCGUUUCAUUUUUAUUUGUUCCACUCAUGGCCAUUAUUGAGCAUUUUCAUAAAUACAAAAGGCAUUUAACAACUGUAGCACAGCACAUGACUGGAAGAGAGCAGGUAGAAGACAAGGCGUAUUUUACCCGCUCACUCCAAACAGAAAUAAACAAUAACUAAAGAUGGUCCGUCCACUUCAGGUUUUUUUCCUGUAACUUUACAAACAAUAUUACAACCACAUAAAAGGAGACACGCAAACAAAAGCAAAGUCAGCGUCACAAAAAACUACUAAAAAAAGCACCUGAUGGUUGGAGCCCUUCUUCCUCCCUGUACCUUCACACCUUCUAAAAAUUCUUCACAGGUGCUUUAAGUUAUUUUAUUCAGCCUGUUAUCUGUUGUUCAUUUUAAUACUGUUGCUGUUGUUAUAACGGUCGGUUCAUUUUUAACAUCAUUUCUGUCCAAACAUUUUAAUUUCAUUUUUACAAGUAUGGACCCCUGAUGAGUUGCUGUUACUUUAGCAGAGACUAAUGUAGAAAUAAAUGACAAAACUAUAAAUAUAAAUGCAAAUGAGUGCGUUAUUUCCAUUUCAUGCGACUCUGCACAACAAUAAUUCGCUCAAAAUCUGAGGUCUGGACUAAAGUGGUGGUUUUGGUGUUCACAUGAAUUGAAUUAAUGGAUUUACGCUGCAACAGUUUCAGUCAUCAAACUAUUAUCCUUCGUUUCCUCGACCUGACGCCUGCUGAAAUGAGACGUCAGUGUGACAUGAUGGAAUACCGUACAAACUCUCUCCCAGUACGUUAUUCCAGCUCUGCUUUCUGACCUAAACUGUGACCAGGUCAGCCCACAGCUCUUGAGGUCAAACAGCUGUAAGAGUACACAUUCAUCUCUGAGCACUGGGUUGAACCGGCCUCAACCUCCCCUCCUAACUGUCUGUCCUCCCCUUUGCUGCGCUGGCAGCCGUGCCCCUAGAAUAGGCAUGUAAACCAUGUAAGCCUGACACCAGUUGUUUUGACUGAGAGCACUGAGGCACUGACUUAUUGUGCAACACAACUCAGGGCCCUCAGUCCUGGUGAGCCAUAUCGCCAAAACCCCCUCUGUAAACCCCAACCCUUCAAACUCCAAAACUGACCUUCACCAGAUGGAAUUUGGGAGCAGUUUCUCCAGAAAGGUGCGGUUAAUCAUGUCAGGAGAAAACCUGAUACUCACAGCUGUGAUAGUGUUCCUGGGAAAGCAACACAGAGUCGAGUCAGUUUGAUAACUUUGAUAGUUUUUAAGCAGAGAUCCAGACCUGAAUCAGAGCCAUGAAUGGAUAAACAAAGGGGAAGACACCUCUAAGAUAAUCCUUAAGAUUCAAAGACAAGAUUUAAACGGUGUUCAGCUAGUUUUAAAACUGUUUAAACAAAGAAGUACGUCACAUAUUAGCCAAACAAGUUAAGAUAAAGAGGCUGUAAAUGAUUCGGAAACACGGUUUAUCAUUAUCAGUGUGAGUGCGCUGUCAGACUGGUGUUAGUAUUUAGUGAAAACACAACAAUGUCAAAGAAAAACCUUUAAAAACAGCCACUAUGGAGGUAGUCUUGUGUUUGCAUGAUGGGUGUUUGGAAAGACCUGAACGUAAAGAUGUGCCACAACCUUACUUGUCAGAGCUACGAGGAAGAUUACAACGUAAAGCCAUCAUACGGUUUUAUUAAGAGUUUCACCAAAUCAUAACUCUCGCUAUUCUAACUUUUUUAAAAUCUGUUUUUGGAGGUUUUAUACUUUAAAACCCUCCACGAGCCAAGAAAAUAAUAUAAAAAUCCCAAUAUGUCAUUCAUUUGGUGGCAUGUGUAUCCUUCAAGUAAAAGCGUAUGAGAAAGGCGUGUUGUUGUACUUCAUGGAUGUCAUCUUCAGGUGCUGGAUCAAGGGUUUCUUAGAGCAUCUACCAUCUUUGUAUUAAUCCAAAACUAGCUGCCCAAUAUGUAGGGCUGGGAAAUAUGGAAAAAAGUUUAUCACAAUAUAUUUUUUCCAUAUCAGUCGAUAUUGAUAUAUAUCACAAUCUAAAAAAUGAAAUUUAUUGGUAGCAUGUCUUUUGCAAUAUAAUAAUCUACUACAUCCAUGAGGUCUUUGUGAUUGUGUUUGAGAAAAUGGACUGAAUGGUCGUCUGUUUCGGCUGCACAGGCGCCAUGGACUCCUUGCUCCACUCGGGGUUUGUAACCUUUUGCAUUGUGCGUGCUCUGUCGUGUGUCACUGCUACAGGUGGUGAAAAGAUUUGAGUUUAUCCCCGACUUUACGAGAACAUGUACUCGACAUAAUUUGCAGUACACAUUACUCUGCUUCAUGUCCGACCACCGACGUUUUCGUGCCAGUGUUGUCGACGAUGUUGUCACUUGUUGAGCCUUGCAUUUCUGCACUCAUUUUCUAAUUUUCUCACCAACAGUACUGUCAGCUUCACGUGUUAAAGUUCUAUGGUUGCGUGUAGCUGCAGCCUGCUACUAUGCAGUUGUUUGCUACUUGGUUCUAAUUCCGCGAAGUGGACCUGGAGCAACUCCCCUUUUCAUUGGCUAUUCGUAUAGUCUACUAAAACAUCUCAGAAUGACGACUAUCAAAAAGCAUAUUGACCAUGUUUUAUAAUGAUAUUGAGGGAAAUUAAUUUUUGACAUAUAUAUUGUUAUCAUUUUAUCACCCAGCCCUACAAAUGUGUAAACAUAAAGUAGCACAUAUAUGAGUAUUUCAUCACAUCACAGCUAAUUGGGGAGCAAAUCCAGUAACAGCUGACUCAAAUGGAAUGAGAGGGAAGAGCAUUUCUUAGCUCAAUGGCUUAAAGUGAUACCAGCAUUACUUUAGAUUCACUCUAGCAUCUUUAAACCAGCUCACUGAGACAUACAGUAUAACAUAUAGAAAUAAUCAGAUGCUCUUUUCGCAGCGUAAACUUGUUUCUGUUGGUUAUUUCAUGUCCAUCCUGGUCCUUCUUCUAUUUCGUUGCACAGACCAGCAGCUGAGGAAUACUUGUGGUUAUUUGUGUGAACUCUCCAGUCUGACCGUGUCUGUCCUCGUGCCUCCUCACUGUGUUUGUGCAACACUGCUCAACUCAGUGGACACAGCAGGGUGUGUCACACCGCUGCAUGCUUGUUACAUUAACACGCAAACUCAGAAAAGUCUGACCGAGUUAUAAGACAGGCUGCUCUUGUCUUUAUAAGAUCGCUGUUUUUCUGGUGCUGAAUCUCAUGUGGACACAGAGGAGCGAGAAACUAAAGUGGAUUAUUUAAUUGGGUGUAAUGUAGAACAAUUCAAAUUCUCGGUGAGAGGUUAUAAAACGUUCCAGAUGGAGAUGGUCAGAGACUAAAAAGGGGGAAACCGAUCUUCCCACUUGGGCCACAAGAGUGCCUUUUUGAUUAGCCUCCAUUUGUUCCUCAACGACACCGCUGAUUAAAGCAGCUUGACUCUGAACUGUUUCUGACAUCUGAGGGGGAUCCUUGUGAGAUUUACAGAAUGAGGGCCAGGACUCUGAGACCUGAGCACACUUGUGUUUUGUUGGUGUGGUCUCUACCCUUCCCAAAUUAUCCCCUCACAAUUCUUUUACUGCCCAGAUAAUGAUUCAUUACGGCUGCAGAGCUCCACACAGUGAUUUAACAACUUUUGAUUCCAGUAAAGCCCAGCCUGCAAACCUCGCCAAUAAACAAACUACUGUAAUUAGGCUACUUAAAACCCGAAAAAGUUGGAUUUUUCAAUGCUCCGUCAUGGUGGUCUUCGGAGAAACAAACAGACUGACAGACUUGUGGGCUCGGGUACAGUAUGAUUUUGUAACUUCUCAAAUAGUUUGGGAGCCACCCAUGGUUCAAUAGAUGAUGUGAACAUUAAAAUAGAGCUGACGGAUCAAAAUGUGAAAUAUCUGGAUACCCUGGGGUUAUAAAUUUCUGCAGGAGAAAGAGUAGAUGUUGGCCUUGGACCAGGAUUGUUUGCCAUGUCAGUGUAGGUUUGUGGGUGGUUUGGUUCACCACUUUGGUCCAGACUGAAAUAUAAUCGACAACUAUUGGAUGGAUGGUUUUAGAAAUCGGUUAAAAACAGUCUUAGGCAAUGUAUUUUAAUAACUUUAGUGAUCCAAUAACAUUAAAUAUAAUUGCAUCCUGGGAAUUACAUUUGAGACUCUUGGUAAAUGUCUUAAAACUUGAGGAUUGAUUGUCAUAAAAUAUGGUUUAUUAAGGGAUUUGAUUACCCGCUGUAACUAAGGAAGACCUGACUGACAGAAACGAAAAGAGACCCUCAGGCAGCAACGAGAACCGUCAGAGAGCCAGCAGGUCAUUCGGAGUCUGAUGCCGUGAGACAUCAGAUGGCACAGCGGCCGAACGUACUGCAGAAGAAGGACCAGGAGAAAGAGACGGACCUGGAGAGGAUGAGGACUAAGAUCACACAUCAGCUCCAGCAAAACAUCAACAACUCUCCAGCAGUGAACUUCAGAGGCACAAGGAGGACAACUGGAGAAGGAUGAGGCUGUGGGGGGAAUAUGUUUGGAGCAUCAGCCUUUGCUCCUUAACAUCAACUACAGUCUGCACCAAAACCAGAGCCAGAACCUGAGCCAAUGGAGGAGUCUGGAGUGUCCGGAGAAGGUCCUUCGACUUCGCAACAGCCACAUGUGUGCAAACAACCAAGACACUACAUCAGCCUGAAAAAGCUGCAGAAGCAGAAGAAGAAACAGUUCUCCACUCAUCCUCAUCUCUCCUACCCGAACUCAUCCUCUUCCUCAUCCUUCUCCUCCCUUUCCUUAAACCAAACCCAUCCUCUUUCUCAACCUGCAAACGAAUAUUUAAAAAAUAUUCAAAAUGAAUAAAAAAACUAACAAAAAACA